rnacentral:lncRNA from 1 species
CCUUAUAGAGUAUCAUUUGAAUAGAGUAUCAUUUGAAUUGAGCGUAAGUAAAUCCGAUGUAAGUAUCGCUAAUUUUUGUGGCAAGGUUUUUAGUUAUUGGUAUUUAGUUUUCAUUUUGAUGUGUUACAAAUUUUGUUGAUUUUUAGUUUUGGGUUUUCUGAUAGGAGAAGAACGUGAGGAGUUCAACGUUCUUCUAGCGAAUUUAGUGUUUUAGGCCGUUGUUUCUGUCAAGGGUAAGCGACUAAUGUUUUCGUGUAGAGUAUGAUACUUUUUGUUAAGGAUUAUUGAUAUCGGAUGAUGCCGAUUUAAUGGUUUGAUUUGAGUGAGUAUCAAUGCUAAAUGGUGAGUUUUCAUUGACGUUUUAGGUAACGAAAACCUCAUGGAGGUGUCAUUGUCAGAACUGCGUUUAGGUGUCUAAUUUUAACACAGAAACGCGUUUAGAACUCGAAACAAAACUCAAAAACAGAGGUUGUUUUUGAAACUGUUCUGUGUCACACAACUCUAUUGCUUGGUGUGUGUUAGGCCGUGUGGGACACAUGGGCGUAUGUGAUCACACGGGCAUAUUAGGUAGGCCAUGUGGGCCACACGGGGUUGAUUUAUUGGGUCGUGUGGGCCACACGGCCGUAUGGGCCCAUUUUUUGUAAGGUUUUCACUUAGGCUUUUUUCACCUAUAAAUACGUAAUUGGGCCUUUCGUGGGGUCCGUUUGGCUGAAAUAAGUCUCGAAAUGUGAUUUCUGUCAGUAUGUGAUAUGGUUAAGGUAAUUGAAACAUUUUGGUAUGAUCGGUGUUUUGAUAACUUUGAAAGCACAAUUACAUGUAAAAAACAUCUAUGACAUCUGUAUGUAGAAUAACCGUAAGUGAAGUAAUUUGGUAAGAUAUGAGCUGUAUAAGUUAUGUGUUGUGGUAUGCUCUGUAAAACAUAUGUUUAGGUAUGCGGGGCAUACAACCUAUAUGAAAUGUAUGUAUGUUAACACGAUUUUGCAUAUGUACUCAGUGGAUUUUGAUAUGACGUAGGAAGUGUUCUCUAGAUGUUUUACUGUAAUUUUGGUGGUUAAAGCACAAUAUCUUUCUGGCAGCUCAAUUUCAGCAUUAUGAGUGGCAUACCACCACAACCCGGUGUGAUUGGAUGGAUGGACUCUUGAAGUUCUAAUUGGUGUGAUUAGUUGGAAGGAGUUGGUGUGUAGCGGAUGGGGGUAGGAUCUGUGUCUGCAUUUGUAUCCGGAUAUGAAUACGCAUCUGUAUCUAAUUAUGAACACAUAUCUGAUUCUAUAUAAGAGAAUGUGUUUGAGAUUAUGAUUAUGAAAUUGUGAAAUUCUGUAUUUGAUUAUGAACACAUUUGGAUAUGUUAUAUGGUUCUAAAAAUAUGACAUUCUGAUCUGGUAUAUGUUUCUGGAAAUGUGACAUUUUGAUAUGAUAAUUGUAUAAGUGUAUUUUAUAAGUAAAAUUCUUUGAUGACAUUUAAAUUUGUGCAUGUUAUAUGUAAAAAUUUUGUUUGUAGGCCGAGUCAAACACUAGGCUUCUAGCUCACCCGUUUGUUUAACAUGUUUAAGGUGAAAUUCAGAUUUAGGAUCGGACGGUGUGCGGGAGCUCGAAUUGGUUAUUUUAUGAUGCAUGUAAGUUUGAUUUAGCUUAUUUUUUAUGAUUAGUCUGUUUUUGAGUUAGUUAAAAUGAUAUUAUCUAGUAUUGGGACUAAUUUAUGAAAUUGAUGAAGUUUAGAAAAAAUGUCCAUUGAUGUUCUCAAUGUUACUUGAUAUUUAUGUUUUCGAUUGAAGUAAAUGAUAGGUUUUUAGGUAUUUGGUAAAGUGAGUUUGAGUGUGUAACGCCCCGAAAUUUCUAAUUUCGUUAUUGUGAAAAUAUGACACAAAUAUCUAUGAGCUUUAGUGGUUAUGUGUUCUGGGAGUGUUUGGGAGGUCCUAAGUUCAAGCCUUCACUUGGAAAAAUUUUGGUAUUUUGAAUGAAUUAGGCCUUACUCUUGUUCAGUAGGCUUUUAUUUGAUUGUUGGGUAAAUUAUAUUAGAAUGGGUCUGUUAGUCUGGUGGUUAAAUGGUGUGUUAUUAUGGUGGAGGUCUUGUGUUCGAAUCCUUAUGCAGGCAAGGGUAUUAUUUUUUUGGCUUAGAUUUCGGGAUAGAGUUGUGAAAUAGGGGGAUUCUGAGUAGUGGGAAUUAGGGGAGAAGAUUAAGGGAUUUUGGGGGUUAUCGGGAUUUUAUUUUAUUUUUUUCCCAUAACAGAAUUUUGACUCUCUUUUCCAAAAAAAAUUCUCCCGUCUAUUCUUCUCCCUCUCCUCUUGUCGAAAUUCUCUGAGUUUUUCCAUCUCUCUCUUCUUUUUCUUCUUCUUGAUUUUUCCCUAAUCCAUUUAUUUUCUUUCGUUUUCGCACGCGGUUAGUGCCGACUUAGUUUCGGUAAGUGUUUCUCUUCGUUUCUAUCAUGAAUCUCUUAACGACUGAAGUGGUAAUGUUUUUUCUCUGCAAUUUGGGUGUAGGGGGAGGCUCGGACUGGUGAAUUCGGUGUUCUCGUCUUAACAAUAGUUAAGCGGAGGGUUAUCGUUGGUGGUAAGUUGGGUUUCUGUUCAUUCUUGGUUGUCAAUUCUCUUGUAAAUCCAUUAAAUUGAUGUUGAGUAUCUUGAUUAUAGGCUUUGGAGCGCUCGGAGAUUGUUUUAGCAUCAAACAAAACCAUAUGUGUACCCGAAACGCAAAAAAAAGGGAUUCGGCGAAAAGCCAAAAUUGUUUGCUGUUUGGACAGCAGUAGUAGGCUAACUUUAAAAAAUUGCCAUAAAUUAUGGAAAUCGAAUCAGAGGAUGAAUAAAGUAUGAAAUUAAAUCUUAUUGAGUCUAGUUUCUCAUAGAAGAAACAAUGUAAGUAAUGGAAUUGUAAAUCAUGAGGUAUAAUAAACUUUGUGAGACAAGGUCAGAAUGAAUUUGGGUUCCCGUGUUCUGACUUUGGAAAAUGAUAAAAAAUUGGAGCAAAAUAAUUAGGGGUUAAAAUUUACAUGUUUAAAUUAUUAAUGAGCCUAUUUUCAAUAGAAACAAAUGGAAACAUCAUCCAAAUUUUGUACUAAGAGAUAAUUAAAUUUUAGCAAAGAAAGGGUAAGUUUGAAGAUUUUACUGUACUAAGGGAAGAAGCUAUCAGACAGCAGAACAUGGGUAAGUUUGUAGAUUUUACUGUACUUAUUGGCUGAACCAAAAAUUCUAAAUAUUUUAUGGUAGAAAGGUAUUUGAGUCUAGUUUCAAAGACAUCAAGCGGAUCUUAAUUCGGAAUUUUGUAGCUCAAGAUAUAAAUAAUUUAGUAACAAUGAUUCAAGUAGACAGCUUUGACGGAACAUAUAAGUAAAUAGUGAAAAUAUAUAUGAAUAAUUAACUAGCACGGGUUACAUUAAAAAUGGAUCACGUGGCCAAGGCCAAUUUGGGCCGAGUGGGCCACAUGGGUGUGUGAGCCCAUUUUUCUGAAAAGUUCUAUAAGGUUGCACGGGUCACCCAAGUCGAUUAUGGACCUACUGUAGGGUCGGAAUACUUUACUUAGACCCCUAUAUGUGUGAUCUGUCUGAUUUCUAUUCUGAGCAUGACUUAUGAUAUCUGAAUGUAUGUACUAUUAAUUGCAUAAUGGCAUGACAUAUUUUGUAUGUUGCAUUGCAUCGGGGUGGGUUGAUGAUAUUUGGAGGAAGUGUCUGAAAGGCUAUUAAGCCUGUUAUCUGGCAGCUCAGUUGCAACCUUCUGAUUAUGUGACGCAUUUCGGUACAACAUGGUGUGUAGGGAUGGGUUGGUUGAUUUAAUCCCCACAUAGUGUGUAGGGUUGGACAGAGAUGGCGUGCAGAGGCUGGUGGGUAGGAUUCUGAUUUACUGUAUCUACAUUUUGUAUCUGAUGUGGGCCAAGACCCUAAUGUAUUUCUGAGAUUGUAUCUAAAUGGGCUAAGGCCCAAACUGAUUACGUGAAGGGCACAGGCCCAGAUUGUAACCAACUGAAUUUUGUUGAUUAUUUGUAUGCGUGUUUUUUGUGGGGAUUACACACUAAGUUUGUGAAAACUCACCCUUUUUUCUGUUUAAUCUGUACAGGUAAUCCCCAGACUUGAUGGGUUGGUGCAACGAAGGACUCGAUGGUGGCCACACGUAAAUUUUAGACUAUUUUCCAUUAAUGCCUAGAAUUUAUUACUUAUUUGGGGUUUUUGAUGUAUCUUCUGGACUAUGGACUGGUUGGCUUUAAAUUUGGAACUUUAUACUGUUGUUUUAUGGAUUUUUUUAAAAAUUGCAACUCCACAAAACAUGGUUUUUUUCUAAAAACUAAGGUUUUUUGUAAAUAGAAACGACUUUCCCUAAAUUAAUUGGUUACAAAAGCUUCUGCUAAGAGACAAGUUUUAAAGCAAAUCAACUAGUUUUUUUCCGAAUUAAAUAAAAGCUAACUUACUGUAACAGUUUUUAAACUCGACAAUUUUGUUUUCAAAUUCAUUUCCAUGUAACAUCGCCAGAUUCGACCAUAACGUCUAGGCUGGGUUUGGGGUGUUACAGAGUGAUUUUAAGAUUAAGGAUUAAAUAAAUAGGAUGUUGAAAUUAUUAGGUUUUCUUGAGAAAAUUAGCAUGAGUGAGGGCUGGUUUGGAGUAGUUAAAAUUUGGUUCUUUGGGAAAAGGGGUUAAUGUUAGAAAUAACCAUGUUUAGAUCUUAGGGAUCAAAUUGAGUAACAUGUAAAAGUUUGAGGCUAAUGUGUAAAUAUUGUAAAUAAGAAAUAAGAUGUAUUAAAUUAAAUAUUAUGUGAAAUUGAGGUUGAUAAAAUAAAAUAAAUUAUUUUAUAGAUCAUGAACAAGUUGAUAACUGGGAAAAGAGAAAAUUACGGAUUAGCCUAUGAACUUUUGUUGUUUCUGCAGUUUAGCCUUGGUAAGUUCGUAGUCCUUAAAUUCAAAAUUUAUUUAUUUAAUUAGUUUGAUUAUCCAUUAAUUUUAUAAUCAAUCAUAUGUAUUUGAAUGAUUAGUAUUUUAAAUGUAAUGUUAUGGAAAUAUAUAUAUGAAAAUGGUUAUUGAGAGGAUUUGAUAAGCUAUAAAAAUAACAUAUUUUAAUCUCAUUCUUAAUGUGUUUUUGGAUGAUUAUUUAUGCAAAUUAGUGAAUUUGAUGCUCAUAAUCCUUUAAAUUCAUGUUUCUAUACUUAGAAUAGCAUUUGGGAGAUAAAGGAGCCAAAAACGAGCCAAAAUCAGACAAAAAGAGUUGAUUUCAAGAUCCACGUGGGCUGGGCAUUUCCACAUGGGUUAGACACACGCCCGUGUGAGCCACAUGGGCUGGCUACACGCCUAUGUGUCAGCCCAUGUCGAUUUCGUACCCUACUUUCCAAAUACACGAGAAAACCCAAUUUUUAGGGUUUUUGAGCAUUCUAAAGUCUAUAAAUAUCCAUUAGAAGAAUACAUAAUGGGGCAAUUAGAGAAGAUCGAAGAAAACACUCGAAGAACACCAUCGGAAUCAACUCGAAAGUGGAUCUCCAUUAAGAUGGAAGAUCUCCUUUUAAUUUCUCUCAAAGUUUUAUUAAGUUUUUUUUUAUGUUUUGUGGUUAUUCUAACUUUGAGAUGUUUCUAUUAAGGAUUAUGAACUAAAUUCCCUAGAUACAAUGGGAAGAUGAAAUCUAUGAUGAAUCAUUUUAUUUAAUUUUUGUUUUUAUGCGAUAAAUACUUGAUUCUUGUUUUCAAUUAUGUAUGCUUAUUUCUUGUUUUAAUAUUUCCGGGAUAUUAAUUCAUGUUUAAUGUGCUUAUUUCAGUGGAGGAAAAGUCCCUGUUUAAGAGUAGAUCUAACAUAAUUGAGUGGAGUUGCAUGCAAUUGUAGAAAUAGGACGACAUAAAUCUACCUGAUUAGAGUCAAAUCUAAUAAGGGAAUCCAUAGAUCGAGUUAAUGUGACGAUAGGGGUUUUAAUUAGAAAGAGAUUUCAAUUAAUCAACAUAAAGUUAGUUGUUCUUACUCUCGAAAGAGAUAAUAAUAUAAUUUAGGGAUUUCUAUGGAUCAAGACACAAGUGAAUAAAUCGUUUAGUUCAGAUUCAUAAUAAAAGGUGAGGUCUAGGUGGAUUCCUUCUGGGGUAUUGUCUAUCUCAUUGGUUAAUAUUCGAUUAUUUCCUUGAUUCAUUCUCUGUUGCGUUCAUUGUUAAAUUAGGUUAGUAAGUUUAGAUUAAAACACAUCUCUCCACAUUGUUGGCUAAAUAAUAGAAAAACGGUAAUUACUAGUACUUUUAGUCCUCUUGGAUAUGAUAUUCCCUUCUCACCAUAGCUAUACUAUUGUUCGAUAGGUGCGCUUGCCUUUGUCGUAUUUAUAGUUAGUAUAGUGACCAUUAGGAUUAUAGAAAUUCAAUAUAAAAGAUUAAUGUAAAGGAUUUAAAUUAUGAAUUGAAAAAUUGUGAAACAAUAUAAUUAUGUAUGUAUUUGUCUGUUUAUCCGACUAGCGCUGGGUGCAACUCAUUGUUGGUACAUUGAACUAGUACUAGGCACACAUUGAUAUGUCGAUUUACUUGACUAGCUUUGGGCGCAACUUAUUGUUGGUACAUCCAACUAGUGCUGGGCACACAUUUGAUAUCGUCGGUUUACUCGACUAGCACUGGGUGCAACUCAUUGUUGGUAUAUCCAGCUAGUGUUGGGCACACAUUUGAUAUCAUCGAUUUACCGGACUAGCACUUUGCUCAACUCAUUAUCAGUUUUUCCAACUAGUGCUGGGCACACAUAUGGUAUCGUCAGUUUAUUCGACUUACACCGGGCACAAAACAUUGUUGGUGUAUCCGACUAGUGCAGGGCACACCUAUCAUCAGUUUAUCCGACUAACGCUGGGCGCAAAACUUUGUUACGAUUUAUCUGUCGAGCAUUGGGUUCCAAUAACAAGUUGAUCCAUGUUGAUAAUGUAUAAACGAUCCAUUCAAAAAGGUUAAAAAUGAUGUAUUCGAAAGGAUAUCAACGAAAAGGUCGGUAUCUCAUCCUUCAAUCGUUCGCUAUUCAGGUAAGAUUUGUAUUACAGGUACGAAUAUGAGAUAAAUGUUUGACUAGUAUAGUUUGGUGAUGAAUAUAAAUGCAUUGUUGUAAUUAUAUGUUUCAUGAGUCUUUAAAUAUGUUAAUUAGUUAUGUAUGUGAUGGGUUUGGAGAGUAAAAUGGAUAUAGGAGUAUUUUCUAGGUAUUCGAUGUUAUUUCAUUAGGUACAUUGGGUAAUCAAGGAUUAAUGGAAUGAAUAUGAAUAUAUGUAUGGAAGGUUACAUGGUUAUGAUUUGUAAAUUGAAAAUUAAUGUUGUGAAGAAUUGAUAUAGGAUUUGAUGAUGGUGAAUUAAGUGUUGAAUGGAAUUUAGAAGGUAAAACUUAUUACACAUGUUCAAGAUUGGUUGUAUUUUUAUGUCUUAUUGAUUCAUUUGCUAACCUUUGAAAAACGUGUGUAUAGAAAUGAAAGAUGUGCAGUUGGCAUAUAAAUGAAUUCAUGUUUGAAUGAUUUAAAUUUUGUAUGUUCGGUAAGACUAAGUUCAUGUUAUACGAGCUUACUAAGCUUAAUGCUUAUGGUAGUUAUUUCAUUUCUUUGGAGGUCAUCUGAAAGCUCGACCGGUUGGGAACAUCGUCAAAGCACGAUCACACUAUCCAUCUAUCCGUUUUGGUGGUUUUUGAAUGUUGUAACCUAUGGUUAUAAAUGGCAUGUAUAGGGUUGUAUGUUAAAUUAGUAUGCUUUGGGUUGUGCGAAGCUUUGGUAUGUUUUAAUAUAUUUUGUUAUUGGUUGUGCAUGGUCUUUUGAAAUUAGGAAAGAAAUGGUUGAUUUAUAUGUGUUUGGUUCUUGGAAGUGAUUAAAUGAUAUAUAAGCUUUGGCAUGUAAUAGGUGCUUAUAUAGUUUGAUCACAUGGUGAAUAUUGCCUCUUCUUGUGUCUAGUUGUAUAUAUAUAUAGUUUGAUUUGGCUUGUAUAUGUUUAAAAUUUUAUGGAGAUGGUCAUUUUAAUUUUGAGUAUCUAAAGUGGUAAGUUUUGAUGGUAUAGUUUGAAAAGAAAUGGUCUUUUGGUAUUCAUGAUAUAUGUGAUUGAGAUAUGACAUUGUAAUCUAGUUCAUGAAUGGUUUUGGAGUGUGAAUUGGAGAGUCUAUUGAUGACAUAUUGGUUAGUCAUAGGUUGGAUGAGAAUUUGACAUUUUUUUUAUGCUUUGAAUGUACUUUUAACCAUGUGAAAUAGGUUAGAUAUUGUGUGCAUUGGUAUGCAAGUAAUUGAGUUUAAAAUGACUUAUUUUAGGGGCACUUUUUGCUGCACAUAGCCUAGGACACAAGCUGUCACACAGCCGUAUGCCACACACGGCUACCUCACAUAGCCGUGUGUCAUAUUAAUUUAGGUACAAGUUUCACACGGUCUGGCACACGGCCUGCAACAUGGCCGUGUGACCCAAGUCAGUGAGUUCCACGAUUUGACACACGUGCUAGGACAUGGCCGUGUGUCCCAUAGUUCAAAUGCCCACACAGCCUAGAUUAUGUCACAUGGACUGGCCACACAGCUGUGUGACCCCUAUUUUGUAAAUUUUCAAGUUUGGCCUGAAGUUUUUGUUUUAAUUCGAAUAAGUCCUUGAUUGUUCCCAAACUAUUUUUAGGGCCAUUUAAGUCCAAUUUAAGACUCGUAAAAGUAUUUAUAUCAUAUUUAAAUUAUGUUAUCGAAUAUAAUUUGUGAAUUGCAUGUUGGUCCAUGUUGCGAUGUUUAAGGUUCUAUUUUGCACUAUAAUGCUCUGUAACCCUAAUCCGACAACGGAGAUGGGUUAAGGGUGUUACAAAUUUCAAGUAACUUGUUUUGCCCAAUGGAACCUUAGUAAAUAGACUCAGAUACACGGGUAAAUUACACCACACUAGUUGCUCAUCCAAGCUGAAUAUAUGCAUAUCAGGUUACCCUUCCGGGUUAAACCUUUAUAACGCCACAUUAGGUUACUCAUCUGAGCUGAACCUAUGUCACAUAAUACUUUAGAAUCAACAAAAAAUACUAGACCUCGAUAACAUCUUUAAUAAAUCUUGUAUAAGCGCGCACAAAACCCUAUUGUCAUGUCAAUCGUAUCCUAACAUUUACUAAGUUCACACGGGCAUCGAUUUCACAUAAUUCAAUGUCAACCUUGUAAUAAUUUACAUUUACAUUAACAUAACACACCCUGUAAAGGGGUCACAUAUAAUAUUUUCGUAUCAUGUAAACAUUCGUAUUUACACAUUUGUACUCUAUAUUAUUACGCCAUAAUCAACUUUACACAAUAUUCCAAUUCAGUUAUACUAGUUCUAAGAUAUUACAAUUAUAUACAAAUAUUCAUAUAUUAAAUUAAACACAAGCACUCACACAUAUAUUACCAAGUGAAAUAGUAAAUUCCAUAUGAACUUACCUGAUCAAAACACCCAACAAGUUGAUUCUUUAUAGACUAAUAAACAAUUUUAGCAUUUCUUCGAUUAACUUUGCUUUGAUCAGAUUCUUGGUUUAUUAAAUGGUCGAAUACUUCAAAGUUUGGAAGCUUUCUUUUGCUUCAACCAUGGUGAACGGUUUGGUGGAGAAGAAAUAUGACAAAGUUUUCUUUCUCUUUAUUUCCACCAAAUUUGAUAUUUAUACUUUAAUAACUUAAUUAAUCACACUUAAUUAAUACUAAUUACUCUUAAUGAUCUUAAUCAUCAUCAUCAUCAUCAUCAUCGUCAUCUACUAUAUCUUGUUCUAAAAUGGUUUAUUUACCAUUUUGGAACUUAGGCUAUUUGUUAUUUUAAUCUCCAAAUCUUUUUUUAAUUAAAAUUCAAUAGCGAUUGGACUUUACAAUUUAGUCAUCGAGUCCUAAUUAACAAUUUAUUCACCGAAAUUCCUUUACCAAACUUUGAAGUAACCUUAUAUUAAACACUUAAAUAUUUAAUAUUUAUGAACUCAGUUUAUGAAAAUAGGGUUUUGAAACUGCCUUUUUUCCGGUACCACUGAAAAUUAGGCUUUUACAUGUACGCACUCUUAAUACCUGCACACAAUACUAGCAAACCAUACAUUGAGCAUUAUAAAGCUUAGUGGUAUGCUAUAAGAUCAACUUAACAAAUCCUUUGGUAUGCCAACCAUACCCAAACUGUUUCCAACAUUGUUUAAUAGGACAUUUAAUACUAGAACAUGCUUUAAGAUUAUUUAGCAUUAUCAUUCAACAUCAUAGAUUUCAUAGCAACAAUUUUAUAAUCAUUGCAUUACUUCCAAUCUAAGGCAAGUCAUGCAUUCUUGUAAUUUCAUUUCAAAUACUUAAUAAGCAUAAACACAACAUAAUCUAAAUCAUCCAGCAACAAACAUGUAAUCAACAAUAUAUCAUCAACCAAUUCUAAGCUAAAUUACUUGAUUGAAACUAUACUAUGAAAUUGUGUUAAGCUAGCAUAAAUCAAAACGUCACACUUCGGUGAUCUUCUUCUUCCCCUUGACCAUGGAGGAUCCGACCACUUCUUUUGCUACAAUAAUCAAUCAAAACAAUGAAACAAGGUUAGAAAAAUAUAAUCAAACAUUAAAAUAACCUAGAGCUAUCAAUGAGAUGCAAUUCAAUAUAAGGAUACACUUACAUGUUUUUAACCGAAGCUCAAAAAAACUUGUAACACCCCAUAACUGGCCUUGUUUCCAAGCCUAAAUAUCAAGGUGCCACACCACCGUCUCAUGUCAAAUACAAAAAAUAAAAGCUCAUUCUCAACAAAACAUCUUCCAUUUUAACAUUCGUACAAGUUUAGAGUCUAUCUUAAGCUUUAGUUAUCACCGUUACAUGCUAAAAUAAAUCAAAUAGCCUUAAAAUAAUAAUUCAACAUGCAUAUGGUCUGUUUUAGUAAAAUUUCAAAACAUCAUCAUAGGUAUCGAUACUAAAGACAUGGUAUCGAUAUUUUGCUCAAGAGGUAUCGAUACCACUUGGAAAAUCUAUACCAAAAUUGCUUAUUGUUUUUCACUUAAAAACCCAAAUUUCAAAAAUUAUCGGUACCCCUGCCAAAGUAUCGAUAUUUCUUCCCCGAGUAUCGAUACUCGAGAUAAGGUAUCGAUACCGAAUCUCUAUUCUAUUUUUCUGCACUUUUGAAAAUACAGAUGUAUCAAUUUUAAAACCCGAUUAUCGAUACCUUUGCUCCAAACCUCAAAAAUGCAGCAUACAUAAGUAAUUAAUCCAUUCCAUUUUAGUUCCUAAAUAUCAUACAUCAAUUACUUUAACAAAUAAUCAUUCAGCGACCUAAUUAAUAGUUCAAUAUCAAAGAAUCGUGUUUGAGCAAGUAAUGUUGAACUCAAGCAUAACAAUAACAUGUAAUACUUAUAAACCAAACCAAAAACUAGCAAAAUGUCUACAAGUUAACAUGGUUGUAACAAGUCUACCACAUUGACUUAUUCCCAAAACGUAAAUAAAUGUAGAACACAUACGAAAUCACAAAUAGACUUGCUUGGAUCACCCUUAGAACCACACCGCUCACACUGGCACACAACUAAUCUAUAAUGGUUUAAAAGGAGUGGGUGAGCUAAACAAACUGAUUGAAUGCCUAGAAAAACUACCAUGCAAACAGUUCAUCAAGCAUUAACGAAACAACGAUAUAUCACAACCUUAACAAUUCCAACUUUAGUGUCAUAAUAAACUUACUCGUGCGUUAUUUUGUAGUUCUUUUACAUGGUAAACAUAUUCACUUUUAAGCAUGUACCAUAUUUCACAUAUAGUCACCUAACAUACAAGCAUAUAUCACCAUACUCAUAUAAUCUCAUGACGUUUAAGAAUAUGUCAUAAUACUCGUAAAAUCACGUAACAUUCAAGCAUAUACCAUAAUACUCUAAAACAUCUUUAUAGAUAAAUUGUACAAUGGUCACAUGUUAUAUAAACACAUAUCAUGAUACACGCAUAUUCAUAAGUUAAGAUAAUUUGGCACUUGAGCUAUGAAACAUAAAAGUGAGCUCUAUCAUCACUCAUUAGAUACACGGAUCUCCAACACACCAAAUAUAGACUCAUAGAGUCAAACAUGUCCCAAAAGUGAAGCAUAAAGCUAACGCUCUCCUUAUUUCCCCUCACAUGUCUCAUUGAAUGGAGCUUAGCUCACAUUCCCUUAUCUCUACAACAUGUCCCAAGGCCUCAACGCCCAAAAUCAUUGUACAUAUAGGUGAGUACUCAUAAUCCUAUGGCAAUUCAGCUAUAUCCAAUGAUUUCAGUAACCAUAAGGCCAAAAUAUCUGAAAUCAAACACAUAUCACUUAUCGAUUAUCCGUGCACAACCACUGCAUAUUUGCAUCUUUAGCAAAACAAUGUCACUAACAUUUAACAUAUACAUAACAUGUACACAUUUGCACUUUCACAACGGUUAUCAUAACCACGUAUCACAUGUUAUAACAUCUCAUCUCAAUUCACAUAUUCACAAACACAGAAGAACUUUAUUCACAAGAUAACAUAGAUAUGAGAAAGUUUACACUCAAAAUUUAGAGUAGGAGUUUAGGCUGCUACUAAAUUCCCAAAUAAUGCAUUAAAUCAUGUCCACAAGCAAUUAUUUCAAACACUCACCAAUUACACUUUUGCCAAAAAACAGAAAACCCAAACUAGUUUUUCAUUGCCUUUAUCUCUAGUCGUAGAAGGUUCUAUCGAAUUUGAAACUUCAACAAAACAAUUCACACACCAAUGCAUUCAAUAAUCAGCUAAGAACUCACCACAAACAAUCAAAAACAUAAACCUAAGCUACGUUCUCAUGUAACUGAAACAUUUAACAUGGCAAACAUUAAAUCCAAAUAUCUCGGUCUAUACUUAAUCUUUUCACCUAAAACCAAUUCCGUUCAUCUUAUAAUUCACCUAUGACUAAUUCUUAACCUUUAAACUAUAGAAAACUACUCAAUUCAUGAUAUCGACUUUCGACAUGUUUUAUGGCUAUUUUCUGAAAUUUUAUUAAAACUCCAGAAAUCUUUAAGGAAACUUCAAAGUAAGUUUAGAAACCUCUUAAUCAUGUCAAAACUAAUUGAAAAAACUUUGAAACCAUGUUUUUAGUCAAAAUCCCGAAUUUCACCAUUAACGGCCCAAUUUUUGACUUUUAUUUAAAAUGUCAUAACGUUGCCUACAUAAGAGUACGGGGGCAUAGUAAGCAAAGCUAGACACGGAUGGCCUCAAUUAAUGUAAAGUCACCACUAACCAAUUAGGGCUAGGUUGGUUAGCCACCUAUAGUCUAAAAGUCUAGAAUUAAUACUACAGAAAAAUCCUAAAAAUCUAGACUCGAUCUUAUCACCAAAUUUCAAGUUCGGGAGUUCGGUUACGUGUGGGAAAGGUUAUAGCGCCCCCAUAAGGCCUAUCCAAUGAUAGUUCUAUGGGGUCUUAGGAGCUAGGUUUUUUUAUUUAAGCAUAUUAAUGUCUUAAUCUAGGCUAAAAUCUUAUCGAAAUCUUAAAUAAAAACUUUAAAGAAAAUGUCUCCGGUUUAUUUGUAACUCGAUUAAGAUGUGUUCACCAAACUUCUCUAAUUUGAAACUUAAAUUAGAGAUUUUUACUUUUAACGGGAACCCUAAAGGAUACCUAAAUAAUUCUAGUAAAAUACCUUCAAUUCCUAAAAUUAAUUCUAUUUUAGAAUUCUAAAAAAAAACCUAGAAAUUACCAAUGAAUUAAGAGAAAUAUUAAAAUUUACCUACAACUUAUUUGAUCUUUUAUUAUUAUUAUUUAAAAGUUUUAAUUAAUAACGUAGAACCUAUCAUGAUCUUACGAAAGUAUCUUAUGUCAGGUUUAUGAUUUAUCUUACUUUAAAAUUCUUGAUCUAAUAUUUAAAUUCGUCAAAAUCCUAAAAUAAUAUAUCUUAAAUAACAUUUAUUAGCUUUCUUAAAAAGUUUCUAAAAUAAAAUACUUAGAAAGACCUACUCAUGAUUUACAAUUCACCUACAAAAAUCUUUAGUUUUAAUCUUGAACAAAGUCCUAAAAAAUAUUUACAUAUACGAUAUUCAAAAUUAGUUUAAAACCCUAAAAAAUAUAUCCUACAUAUUAUUUAUAAUUUUUCUAGGGUAAAUGGUAGAUAAGAUAUUAAAGACUAACCUAAAUUCAAAUGCAAAAACCUUAUGGUUUCAUUAAAAUGUAAUACCUACUUAACUAACUUCAUGUCAACAUUUAUAGGAUGGAAAAAUGACCUAAAGUUCCCUAUUUUAAAACGAAUAAUAAUAAAAUAGGAAAUUUAAUUAAAUUAACUAAAGUUAAUAAAAAGUUAAAACUCUUUUGCACAAGUGUGAAUAAAUAUUGUCAAAACCAUUUUUAUUUUGAAAAACGGGGUCGACUUGGAUUUUGAAAAAAAAAUAAAAAUGGGAGUCGCCACCGAUCCUUUUUAUUUAGGUGUGAUCAGAUCACCUUAAAAAGUGGUUAUUUUUAAUAAGGGAUUUGACUUUAUUAAAACAACGAUUUUGGUCCACGAAAUUCAGAAAAACGGGUUCGGGAGUCGGUUACGUACGAGGAAGGAUUAGCACCAUUGUAACGCCCAAAAAUUGGUACCUAGUUAAUUAAUUAAUGUCUUAAUGUCGAAAAUUGAAAACUUUGAAGAGAUUUAAAAUACGAUCUUUUGUAUUUUUAAAAAAAAACUUAUAUAAAACAAGUUACUCGAUAAGACCCUCUCAUUUCAAAAAGAGAAAAUGUUACACCUAAUGAGUUAGGGCAUGAUAUUUCACUUCCUCAAAAACGAGCUUGUCCAAAAAAACUCGUGCAAUAAAAUUUAAAAGGAUAUUCAAUUGUUUAAGUCAGAUGAAGAAAUCACAGCCCAAUACGUUAGGCCACAAUUUCUCAAAAUUCUAAACAUUGAAUAUUACCUUUAUUAUUUUUAGAAAAAAAUCCUCAUCUCGAGAAAACAACGAGUCAUAUCCAAUGCGUUAGGACACAACGUAUUGAAUUCUCGAUAAUGAGCUCUUUAUUUAUGUUUUGAUUAAAAAGAAUUCUCGAUUAUUCAGAUUCAACGAAAGAGUUGGAACUCAAUACAUUAGGGCUCAAUCCUCUCGAAGAUUCUAAAUACCGAGUAUUGCCUUUAUUUUUCAAAAUUUUCUCUUUAUACAAAUUUGGGUAAAAAUUAUAUAAUGGAGUAACAAUUGUGAUAAUGUAAAUAUAAAUAGCAUGAUCAAGAACAACGAUAAUAAUAAUAAUAAUGAAAAGAUAAAUAAAAAAAACAAAUCAAUCAUGUAUACACAAUAUCAAGUAAAUAAACAAAUAAAACCGAAGCAUUUAAAGAAUAUAGUAAUGAUAAUAAUGGUCAUGUGAAUAAAUAAAUAAACAUCAAGUAAAGAAAUAAUAAUAACAAAGAAAAUAGAUAAAAAUUAUAAAAUAUAAAUAUAUAUAUAUAUGUACAUAUAAGAAAAAUAUAUAUGUAUGUGAAUUAUAAAAAAUAAAAAAUAAAAAAUAUAUAAAUAUACAUAUUUUAAUAUGUAAAAAUAUAUAUAAGUAUGUAUAUAAAAUUAUGAAACAUAGAAAAUAUAUAAAAGUAUGUGUAUAUAUAUAUUUAUAAAAAUUAAAAAAUGUGUACGUAUAUGUAUAUAUUAUAAAACGUAUGUAUGUAUACAUGCAUAUAUAUAACAAAAUUUGAAAUUUAAAGGCAUAAAAAAGUAAAUAAUAAUGAUAAAAGAUUAAUGAUGCCAAUAAUAGUAUUAUAUAUUAAAAUAAUUAAUUUAAUAUAAAAAACUAAAAUAACAAAUAGNNNNNNNNNNNNNNNNNNNNNNNNNNNNNNNNNNNNNNNNNNNNNNNNNNNNNNNNNNNNNNNNNNNNNNNNNNNNNNNNNNNNNNNNNNNNNNNNNNNNNNNNNNNNNNNNNNNNNNNNNNNNNNNNAAUCAACAAUAUACAAAUCAAUAAAUAAAUUAUACACAAAUCAACAAAAUAAGAACAAGCCACAGAAAAUAAGAACGCAAGAGAGAGAGAAAUUUGAGUGAAUACUCUUAAUAAUUAUUAUUACUUCCAACUCAAGUCCUUUACAAUGAAGGAAGAGGCCUCUAUUUAUAGUUGAGCCUCCUCAAAUCCAACGGUACCUAUUAAUUACAUCAACGGCUAAGAUUAAAGGAUAUCUACAAAUUAAAUCUCUAAGAUUACAAAAUCAUAUCUUCUAAGAUUGCAUAUCAUAUCUAAGAUUGCAUAUCCUUGAAGAUUAUGUUUCCAUAUGUGUCAAACUUGUAGAUGGACGUUCAACCUUUUCAAGUAAUGGGCCAUUCCGAUCGGGCCAAAUGAUAUAAUUUUGGACUGGACUUGGACUCUAUUUUAUUAUUUUUGGUUUAUUAUUUUUUUGUGAGCCCGGGCUAAAUUGGCCUAUUACAGUUGCCCCUCUUUGCUCAUUGUCGAGUAACGAGAAUGAAGAAAAGACCUUAAAAAUGACCAAUUUUGCCCGGUCGUGCUGGACCUUGGUGCUCUUAUUCUUCAAGUAGCCUCAUUCCAUCCUACUGCAUCUUCAGAGGUAUAGGAAUUGGUGCUUCGAUCCACUCCACUGCAACGUCGGGGAGAUAGGAUUUGUAACUCAUAACUUUUCAAGAUAACAAAAUUUACUAUUGUUAGUCUGUUUCAAUGCAACUUUAGGGAAAUAGGACUUGCUUUCUCGAUCUACUCUACUGCAACUUCAGAGAGAUAAGAUCUAUUUUAAUCCGCUCCACUGCAACUUCAAGGAGAUAGGAUUACUGGCUUCAAUCUGCUCCACUGCAACUUAGGGAGAUAAAAUCUGUAAUUUUCAACCUACUCCACUGCUGCUCAAGGAGAUAAGGCUAGUGGCUUAAAUCUGCUUCCCUACUACCUUGAGAAGAUAAGAUUCGCCGUCUUCGAUUUGCUCCACUACUGCUUAGGGAGAUAAGAUCUGUAAUUUUCAACCUACUCCACUGCUGCUCAGGGAGAUAGGAUUCACUAUCUUCAACCUAUUCCACUACUGACCAGGGAGAUAGGAUUCACCUAUUCCACUACUGACUAGGGAGAUAGGACUUACAAUUUUCAAUCUCUUCCACUGCUGACCAGGGAGAUAGGACUCACAAUCUUCAACCAUUCCACUGCUGACCAGGGAGAUCGGAUUCACCUAUUCCACUGCUGACUAGGGAGAUAGGACUUACAAUUUUCAAUCUCUUCCACUGCUGACCAGGGAGAUAGGAUUCACAAUCUUCAACCUAUUCCACUGCUGACCAGGGAAGUAGGACUUACAAUCUUCAACCUAUUCCACUACUGACCAGGGAGAUAAAGCUUUGUGAUUUCAUUGAUCUGUUAUCUGAGGAACAUGACCUGUAUAAUGAACCUAAUUAUGCCUAAGAUAAGGAUGGCAUGAUGAAAAUGCAUCAAAUGCUCCUAACUAGACAUGUAUGAAUGGUGUUUGCAUGAAUGUAGAAUGCUAUUUUUUUGUGAGAAUGAUCCUUUUUUAUCACUUAGGUUAUCGUUGCUCGAAGUUUAUUAAGGCUUUAUCACUGAUGUGUUACAACGCCUUUCUGCUCAGCUGGCGUUCUCAAAGAAACACUUAGUCAGAUUGCUCCCACUAUAAACCUCAAAGUUCAAUCCACUAGGACGCAAAAUUUGUACCAUCACUCUCCCACUGUAACCCAAGGGUAGAAAUAUAUGGCUUUUCCUCAAUCCUCUCCUAUCACAAUUCAAGGAUACAGGAUCUAAAUCUCUCUGGUCCCUUACACCAUUCCCAGGGUGUCGUACCAAAGGCUCAUGCACAAAUGAAGGCUUUCUUCUCUAAGGAAACCUCUUUCUAUUGUCUGGUCAUCAUUGCUUGCUUGUUUAUUUAAGCUUUGUCAUCAACACGGCAUCUUGUCAUUUUGUUCAAUCAAUGUUUUUAACAACAAAAUCCAAAGAAAAAGUCCUAAUUUAGACUCUUCCUUUUCAAAUUUCCAACCUUUAAACAUGGUACGUUCUAAAGAAUAGUCUCGUUUCAGGUCCUAUAUUAUUUAGAAACUUCUAGAGUAAUAUGCAAAACCUCCCUUGUGAAAGUUUUAUUAGUCAAUUAAUCAACAUUCCAAUGCAACAUGCUUGCAAAAAGGUCAUAACAAUGGAUAAUAAUAAAGUUAGUUCUGAGCAUAGCUCGAAAGGAAUAAAUUAUCAAAAAUAGUAAAGAAGGAUAACAAAUAAAUUGAUUGGGAAUGUGUAUCUUGGAAAAGAAUGAAGUAUUCCAAGAACAACAAAUUCAAUAUAAAUAGUAUGAAAAUUGGGUACCCCAGAUAUCGCAGCUUGAGCUUCUCUGUACAAACUUUUUGAAGAUCAUUCUGAGUUUGACAUGUGUUUAGGAGAUCUACAGUGCUUUGUCGAUACCCCAAGAUGUCGCCUACCCUUUCCUGUUGAUUCAAGUAUAGCAAGAUCAUCAUAUGCCCCAAUCUGAUCAAAAUUUUAACUGCUCUGAUCACCUCAUGCCCCAUUCUGAUUAAUAUUUGAGCCGCCCUUUUCGGGUUUUCAACUCAAAUCCCCUUUGGUCUCAAGGCGCCCUUUGCGGGUUUUCACCUUGGCCUCUCCUGUUUCUUUUUUUUUCUUUUUCUUUUUUUAUCACUUUCAUUUUUUAUUUUGAUUUUGACCGCUUUUUUUUUAAUCUGAACUCAUAGGAUUAGGCAAGUCCUUGUUAUCCCUUUCGAUCAGAACCAAUGUUUUUUUCUAGAUAAAGUCUUCCACAUAAGAUCUUCCACUUUCAUCUUGUAUGCAUAAGAUCUUCUUUGUGAUCAAAUUUCUUUCAUAGAGCCUUCUAGGGCAAAAUUUAACUAUGAAGAAAAAAUUGGAUCUUCCUCUUCAAUUAUGAUGAAAUCCAACCAAAAUUCGAAGAGAUGGAAACUCGAUCUCAAUGGGCAAAACUAUGAUAAGCCAAAGAGAAAGGAGUUGCCCCGGCAAAAAAAAUUCACUGUAUCAUUCAUGAUGUUAAUCUUGAACAUACGGCAAAUUUCUAAUAUCGUACUAUUGUUCAGAUUACAAUGUUAGUGAUUAACCCGGGCAUAUCCUAGUAUAACCAUGCGAAGACAUCUUUGAGCUCUUAAGGUAAAUCAACAAGGUCCUGCUUUGUUUCUCUGGUUAUGCACGUUCACAAUCUCCAUUGUCUCCUCAUAAGGUAAAAUUUGUUUCUCUUCCUGUUCUACCAUCCUCAAUAAGUCCGGAGAUAGGCUACAAUCUAUGUCAUUUUCAAAGACCUGAAAUCCCUCUAAACACAUGCCUCGCUCAAAAGGAAAUUCUGAGUUUGUAGCAGCGUCACUCAUGUAAUUGAUAUCUGGGGACCCAUAGUAGGUACCAAAUAAUAUACCAAAGAAUAUAUGAAUUUAUGAAUAAUUAUUUGUACAAUAUGAUUAUGAAUGAAAGAAUGAUGUGGAAGAAAAUCCAAAAGAAUGAAAGAAUAAUUAUUCGAAAAGAAUGAAAGAAUAUUGGCUCAAAAAUGAAUGCAAAGAUGUAUUUCAUUAGAAUAAUGACGUUCAGACAUAAGCCUAUUUCACAAAGGAAUUUCUAUCAUUUUUAGGCUAAAAACAACAAAAAUGUUUUGAACAUUACUCAAAAUAAGCUCUAAAAACUAUAGGGAUUUCUUCUGCAGUCCAGUUAUUUAGAACACUCCCAAGUUUAUAAGGGCGAAUAUCUAACAAGGUCCCUUUUCAUUUGUGUCUUCCUAUAUGUCAUUGAUGUGAACUCUUCCCAACACCUCUUCAUAUAUUGCAUUCACCCCAUUAUCAAUCAUGAUUGGGUAGCGGCCUUUCUGCAGUAGAUGAGUCAUCCAACUUGACAAUACCCAUGGUGAUGAAUUUUUCGACUAGCUUUUUGAAGGUAAUGCAAUUCUCCAUUAAGUGCCCCGUAAUUCCCGCAUGGUAAUCACAUUGUGCGCUCGCAUCAUACCACUUGGGAUAUGGAGGUUGUGGAGGUUUUAAGUAGGAAGGGGCAACAAUGUACGCAUCGAACAAGCUUUGAUAUAGCUCCUUAUAGGACAUCGGAAUUAGUGUGAACUGGAGCUUCUCAGUACCUGGUUUCACUCCAGAUUCUUGUCUCAAUGAACCUUGUUGACUAGCAACCCCUUUACCUGGAUGACUUACAGUAACUGAUCUUGAGUAACCUAUGUUACUCAUCUCAUUUUCUUUUCUCCUUGAGACUGACUUUUUGUUACUCUCUCCACCAUCUAUUCUUCCACUUCGGAUGGCAUUUUCAGUCAUUUCGCCAUUCAUGAUUAUAUCUGAGAAACUCUUUGAAGCACUUCCCAACAUGUGCGUGAUGAACGGGGCUUUCAGUGUGUUGAUAAAGAGCAUCGUCAUUUCUUUCUCUAGGAGUGGCGGCUGAACUUGGACUGCAACCUCUCUCCACCUCUGUGCAUACUGUCUAAAGCUUUCAUUCGAUUUCUUUUCCAAACUUUGCAAGGUGAUUCUAUCAGGAGUCAUUUCUAAUAUAUGACUAUACUGCCUCAUAAAAGCCUGUGUCAAAUCCCUCUAAGAACUAAUUUUAAUUUGGCUCAAUUGAUUAUACCAUUUAGAUGCUACCCCGGUGAGGCUAUCUUGAAAACAAUGUAUUAAUAGCUGAUCAUUGUUAAUAUACCCAGUCAUCCUCCUACAGAACAUGGUGAUAUGGGUUUCAGGGCAACUGGUCCCAUUAUACUUCUCAAAUUCUGGCAUCUUGAACUUAUAAGGAAGUACCAAAUCUGGGACCAAACUCAGAUCCUUAGCAUCCAUUCCAUGAUAACUUUCAGUGCUCUCUAUUGCCCUGAAUUUCUCUUCAAUCCAUUUCCACCUUUCCUCAAACUGUUUUGGUAAUUCUUCCUUUGCUUUAUCUUUCUUAGCUACUUCAUCGAAAUCAGGGAUAGCAGUAUUCACCGAGUUAUCUCCAGGAUUAGAACCUGAUCCAGCCUGGAAGUUCACCGGCACUGAUACACCAACCUGAAACUGCUGAGGCCUAAUUGUAACAGAGGAUAUGAGUGGAUGCACCUUAGCUUGAGUUUGCACAUACGGAGGAGUAAAACUUGGAGGAUAUAGAGGUCCAUCAUUGUCUCCUACUUCAUCAUUAACCAUAGGGCCCUUCCCCUUAUUUACUCCCCUAGUCAGUAAUUGCGUCAAAUUAGCCAUCAUAUCCUUUUGAGACUCUAGCAUCCUUUCAGUCAUAUCUUGUUGAAUUUUUUCCAAUUGCUCCUUCAUUUGCAUCUGUAGCUGGUCUUGCAUUUCUUUUUGCAUUUGCUCCAGUUUCUUUAAUCUUUGAUCCAUUUCCUUAGUUUUACGACGAGUACCGUAAGAGUGUUUGGUUGGUUGGUUUUCCAGAUUAGCUUAAAUAAAUUUACUCAAUUAGACUCUUUCAAUGGAUUUUAAUGCAUAUGAUGUCAUGUAAUGCAGAUGCAUGAAAUGAAUGCCUAAAGAGACGUUGAUUCUGAUUCAAUUACAUUUAGAAAACUUUACUAGAAGGCAAAUUUCUUUACAUAAAGCAUAUGCAUGUACGGCCUCGCCCUUAUAUUCCAAGAGACAACAUCGAUCUUUUCCUUCAUUCGCAUGUUUAAGAUAAAUCCCUCAAAUUUCCAAUAGAUGCCACUACUAGCUCCCUUUUUCUUAAUCCUGGUCACGAUCCAUCAUUUUCCUAUCCUCGUAAUGCUUAUCAGCUUCUUUAAGGGAAUUGGAACAUCGAAAGCUCUUAGACAAUCAUCUUAAAUCCUCGAGCCACGAAGUAAAGUCACAAACUCUUCCAUCACCUUUCUUGUGUUUCUCUGAAUAUAUUCAGGCAACCAUAUUAUUUUCCACUUUAUCAAGAAAUUCGUAUUCCAUGACAAGCUUUCUAAGUUAGUAAUCGAACUUGAAUCAACAUCUCUUUUCUAAGAUGCAAAUGCAAUGCAAUCAUAAUCAAAACAAAACAAAACAAAACGGGUUAGUACAAAACAAAAGCAAACAAAAAGAAUACCUAGUCGGGUAAGUACUAGGGGUUUGGAGUGGCUCUACCUAGGAUGAGUUCCUAAAGUCUUCUACAUGCGGUUUGGCUCUAAAGUCAAGCUACCCGAACCAGUAGAUUCCUCGAUCCUUACCCAUUAUAGGCUCAUACAGACCGAGUUUGGUUCAGGGGAAUACAUUUCCCUAUGGCUGCACGGAGAUGAAGAUCUCACGAAGACAUAGGUACGGAUGUAUCCCGAAAGUGAUCCACUAUCCUGAACGGAGGUGAAAACCUCACGAAGGAGUAGCUUCUCACUCCCACUUAAAAGGCUAAGACUAAACAGUCUUUAUGCAAUAUGAUGCCAAGAUAUAAAACUCGAUUUACAGUAAUCAUACAAACAAGGGCAAAGAGAGGGUCGUAAUUUUUCAAAUCAAAUUUUCAAUUUUCGACAAUAAGAAAAAAAACAAUUAAUUUUGCGGCUUGACUCUCUAAAUGUCCCCAGUGGAGUCGCCAAGCUGUUGACACCAUUUUUAUUUUGAAAAUCGGGGUCUACUUGGAUUUUGAAAAAAAAUGAAAAUGAGAGUCGCCACCGAUCCUUUUUAUUUAGGUGUGAUCAGGUCACCUCAAAAAGUGGUUAUUUUUAAUAAGCAAUUUGACUUUAUUAAAACAACGCUUUUGGUCCACAAAAUUUAGAAAAAUGGGUUCGGGAGUCGGUUACAUACGAGGAAGGAUUAGCACCCUCGUAACGCCCAAAAAUUAGUACCUAGUUCAUUAAUUAAUGUCUUAAUAUCGAAAAUUGAAAACUUUGAAGAGAUUUAAAAUACGAUCUUUUGGUUUUUUUUUUUAAAAAAAACUUAUAUAAAACAAGUUACUCGAUAAUACCCUCUCAUUUCGAAAAGAGAAAAUGUCACACCCAAUGAGUUAGGGCACGAUAUUUCACUUCCUCAAAAAUGAGCUUGUCCAAAAAAACUCGUGCUAUAAAAUUUAAAAGGAUAGUCAAUUGUUUAAGUCAGAUGAAGAAAUCGCAGCCCAAUACGUUAGUGCACAAUUUCUCAAAAUUCUAAACAUUGAAUAUUACCUUUAUUAUUUUUAGAAAAAAAAUCCUCAUCUCGAGAAAACGUGUCAUAUCCAAUGCGUUAGGACACAACGUAUUGAAUUCCUGAUAAUGAGCUUUUUAUUUAUGUUUUGAUUAAAGAGUAUUCUCGAUUAUUCAGAUUCAACGAAAGAGUUGAAACCCAAUACGUUAGGGCUCAAUCCUCUCGAAGAUUCUAAAUACCGAGUAUUGCCUUUAUUUUUCAAAAUUUUCUCUUUAUACGAAUUUAGGUAACAAUUAUAUAAUAGAGUAACAAUUGUGAUAAUGUAAAUAUAAAUAGCAUGAUCAAGAACAAAAAUAAUAAUAAUAAUAAUGAAAAGAUAAAUAAAAAACAAAUCAAUCAUGUAUACACAAUAUCAAGUAAAUAAACAAAUAAAACCGAAGCAUUUAAAGAAUAUAGUAAUGAUAAUAAUGGUCAUGUGAAUAAAUAAAUAAACAUCAAGUAAAGAAAUAAUAAUAACAAAGAAAAUAGAUAAAAAUUAUAAAAUAUAAAUAUAUAUAUAUAUGUACAUAUAAGAAAAAUAUAUAUGUAUGUGAAUUAUAAAAAAUAAAAAAUAAAAAAUAUAUAAAUAUACAUAUUUUAAUAUGUAAAAAUAUAUAUAAGUAUGUAUAUAAAAUUAUGAAACAUAGAAAAUAUAUAAAAGUAUGUGUAUAUAUAUAUUUAUAAAAAUUAAAAAAUGUGUACGUAUAUGUAUAUAUUAUAAAACGUAUGUAUGUAUACAUGCAUAUAUAUAACAAAAUUUGAAAUUUAAAGGCAUAAAAAAGUAAAUAAUAAUGAUAAAAGAUUAAUGAUGCCAAUAAUAGUAUUAAUAAUAUUAAAAUAAUUAAUUUAAUAAUAAAAAACUAAAAUAACAAAUAGAGGAUUAAAUAGCAUCAAUAAUCAAAGACCAAUGAAUUUAAAACAAAGAGUAUAAAAUAAAAAAAAAACAAGGCAAAAUAAAAUGUAAACAAAUUUGAAAAUGAAUAAUAAGGGAAAAAGAGAUAUGAAAUCAACAAUAUACAAAUCAAUAAAUAAAUUAUACACAAAUCAACAAAAUAAGAACAAGCCAUAGAAAAUAAGAACGCAAGAGAGAGAGAGAUUUGAGUGAAUACUCUUAAGAAUUAUUAUUACUCCCCACUCCCUCCUUUUACAAUGAAGGGAGAGGCCUCUAUUUACAGUUGAGUCUCCCCAAAUCCAACGGUAUAGAUCAAUUACAUCAACGGCUAAGAUUAAAGGGUAUCUACAAAUUAAAUCUCUAAGAUUACAAAAUCAUAUCUUCUAAGAUUGCAUAUCAUAUCUAAAGAUUGCAUAUAUCAUAUCUAAGAUUGCAUAUAUCAUAUCUAAGAUUGCAUAUCCUUGACGAUUAUGUUUCCAUAAGCUUGUAGAACCUUUUCAAGUAAUGGGUCAUUCUGAUCGGGCGAAAUGGUAUAAUUUUGUACUGGACUUAGACUUUAUUUUAUUACUUUGGGUUUUUUAAUUUUUUGUGAGCCCGGGCUAAAUUGGCCUAUUACAAAUAUGAAAGAUUAAAAUAAAGUGCAUAAUUGACAUUAAAUAUAUAAGGUAUAAAUGCAAAUUAAAAGGAAGAUAUAAUUGUAAAUAAUUUAUUAAAGAUGGAAACAAAAUGACAUGGCUUGAUUUUGGGACUAAAAGAUAAAAAAAAAAAAGUGGAAGAUAGAGGACUGAUGUAGCAAUGAAUUUUCUUUUAAUUUUGAAAUUUUUUAUUUAAAUAAAGUGUUUGAAUAAACAAAAGGGUUACAGGUCUAAAUAGGCCAGAGAGUGAGGGCGACACUGCAAAAAAUGGGGUAUUUUUUGUAAAUUUAAAAAGUAAGGGGUGGAAAUAAAUUAUCCAUUUUGGCACCAUUAAAUAGGAGAAAUCUAUUCAUUCUUUCAUUUUAACCUCAUUUACAAAAACACUCUUCCUCCUAUUCAUCCUUUUAUGUUGGCCAUGACACCAUCACCGGAGAGUCCAACGGCUCUCCAACUUCUAGUUGUGGAGUAGUCGCAUACGGUGGCUGAAUUUUAUUUUAUUUUAUUGCAAAAUCAAAGCUUUCUUUUAAAAAAUCACUACUUUUAUUAAAGAUAAAAGAUUUUAUUCCGAAAUAAUUUUAAAAAAAUCAAAAAUUUGUUUUAAAAAUUUAAACUUUCCUUUAAAAUGACUCAAAAAAAUGGGUUUUCUUUUUUUUUUUUAAAAAUCUAAACUUUCUUUUUUUUUAAAAAAUCACUAAUUUUCUUAAAGAUCAAAGCUUUUAUUUCAAAAUAGUUGAAAAAAAUCAAAACUUUAUUUUAAAAAUUUAAACUUUCCUUUAAAAUGACUAAAAAAAUAGAUUUUUAUUUUUAAACAUCUAAACUUUCUCCUUUUUUUUUCUUUUGAAAAAUCACUACUUUUCUUAAAGAUCAAAACUUUUAUUUUGAAGUAGUAGAAAAAAAUCAAAAAUUUGUUUUAAAAUUUUCCUUUAAAAUGACUAAAAAUAGGUUUUUAUUUUUAAAAAUCUAAAUUUUCUCUUUUUAAAAAAAAUCAAAACUUUUCCCAAAAUCAAGCUUUUUUUUUUAAAGAAACCUUUAUUUUAGAAAGGGGAAGGGAAAAUUCGAGAUUUUUGGGGCUCCCCUUCAUCGGAGCCCAAACCCCAUCCCUCAAUAUAUGUAUAUGGCAAAAAAAAAAGAAAAAAAAAGAAAUAGAAUGCUUAUUGUUGUUACUUUUACCUUUAAAAAAAAAUAAAAUAUGAAAAGCCUCCUUUUUUUUUUCAUUUCAUUUCAUGUAUAUAUACUAUUUUUCAAUCUUGUUUAUUUGUAAAUAAAAGAUAAUAAUAACAUUUAAUAAUAAUAAUAGUAGGAGUAAUGAUAAUAAUAAUUUGGGCUCUUGACAAGCCCAAAAAGGAAAGAAAAAGAAAAGAAAAACAAAGGCCUCCAAUUGACCAAAAUCGGGUGGGCUUCGAACGGGCCCAAGAGUGUAACACCCUAAACUCGGCCUAGACGUUAUGGAUGAAUUUGAUAAUGUUACGAUGAAGGAUUUUGAAAAUAGUGUUAUUUUAAUAAAACUUUGUAUAGUUGUUCGAGAAAUCAGCCAAGUUUUAUAGCCCAUAUUCGUUUAUAACUAUUACUGAAAGCGUUAUUUAAUUAAUUCAUUUGCCAAAACAUAAUUUACAGUGGUAGUAUUAGAAACCGUUAUAUUUUGGAAAUCCAGUUCGUGUAUUCGGAAAAAAAAAACUUUUUUUUAAAAACCUUGACUUUAGUCAAACAUCGCAAUAAAAGUUAAAACGCAUCCAAAACCAAAAUAAAAAUCAUCAGUCGAGAGAGUCCAAUAAUUACAAAACUCCUAGAAAUAGUCCUUAAUUUAAAUAAAAUCCAAUAUUUAAAACAGUUUACAAACUCGUGGUCACCGUGAGACUCUGUCGCACCAAUCCACCUAAGUCUAUGGAUUACCUGAACAGAACAGACAAACAGAUGUGAGUUUUCGUAAACUCAAUGUGUAACCCAAUAGAAAUAGACAUGCAUUGCAUAAAGAAAUCUCAUAUGCAGUAAAAUACAGUUUCGGACUGAAGUCCAUUUCAGAUACAAAUAACAGAAUCAGAUAAGCAGAACAGAUAUACAGAAUCCUACCCCCAUCCUCUACACACCAACUCCGACCAUCCCAUCACACCAUGUGGGGUUAAAAACACCCACCCAUCUCUGUACACCAUACAGUGCCGAACCGACACAUCACAGAUAAUAUGCAGUCGAGCUGCCAAGAUAUAGGCGAGAGGUCGCCAUAAAGGUCACUUUCUCCACAUAUACGAUUCCCACCCUAAACAUAUAUACAGAAUACAGAUAGAGAAAUAUCUUGCUUAACAUGCUCGUAUAUAGAUAACAUAUAUAUUUAACAGAAUAGUCAAACAUGCAUAACAGUCUCCUACUCAGAGCAGAUUAUCAGAAUAUCAGAUCACGUAAUUUAGGGUUUAGUUAGCCCUUGCUGACCCUACGGUAGGCCCACAGUCGAUUGGAACAACCUGUGCGACCCUAGGGAAAAUUUUAGAAUUAUCGGCCCACAUGUCCGCGUGGCCUGCCUGUGUGACCCACACGGCUUAGCCCAAAACCCAUACGCCUAAUAUGGCCUAGCCUGUGUGGUCCACACAGCUACACUCACACCAUCACACAGUCGUGUCUUGUGGACGGCCACACCUUCGUCAGACACACGGUCGUCUCUCGCACACGGCCUACCACACGGCCAAGCACACGCCCGUGUGGCAUCGACAAAAUGUUUUUUCGGCUUUCACCAAAACUCAAUUUUCUAUAUUUUGGGAACACACCUGGUACGAUUUUGGUGCGAAACCACUCCCGGGACCUUGAAAACUUAAGAAAUAGCAUCCAAAUGCCCAAUUAGUAGUCAAUUUAUGAAUCAACACAUAACUCGAAAUAACGCACAUAACUUACUGAUGACACGAACGGACACUAGCGUGAUUUAGGCUGUCGCAGUAAACCUUCACCGCUCACCACCUUCUCCCACACCACAAAUUUGUAGGAAUCAAACCUUUAACUACUCACCAUUUCGCCAAAAUGAAAGUUACAGAAAUACAAAAUCUCACUUACCAAAUGAACGAAGAAAGAUAGAAAUCAUAAAACGUAAAGAUUUGACAGUAGUUUAACAAGAUAGGAGGAGAUAGCAAAAAAGAGAAAAGAACGAAAUAUAGAGAAAAGGAAGAAUAGAAUUAACGUCAGAUUUUUCUUUUGGAAGAGAGAAAAUUUUGAAAAAAAGAAAUAAAAUAAAACAAAAUAACCAAUUAGAUUACAAUCCCAACUCCCCACUAACAACUCAAUCUCCACUACCUCAGAAUUUUAGCUCAACCGAAACUCUUUCAGACAACUGAGAAAAAAUUAACAUCCACGCUCACGUAGGGAUUCAAACACAGGAACUCUAACACUCCAACUCCUUACCAUUCAAACUAGCGAACUCAUUCUAAUAUGGAUUAACAGACAAUAUUAUAUAAGUCCACUCAACAAGGAUAAGGCUUGGAUCUAAAAUAACAAAAUUUUGGCAAAAGGGAGACUUGAACCUAAGACCUCAUACACACACCUAGAAUACUUAACCAUUGAAGUAGAUACUCAUUUAUGUAAAUUUUUACAAAACAAACUGAAAAUAUUUAGGGCGUUACAAAGAGAGAGCAAAAAUUUAAAGGGAACAAAUGGGCCUUCAAUUGGGCUCGGACAAAAAUGGGUGUCUACAUAAAGCAUAUGAUUUAAUGGCUAAAAAUCUAGUUUUCAAGACUAAAUAACGUUUAAAACUAAUUAGAAGUUCAAUCGUUACCUUAGAUGACAAAAAACCAAGCAUUUGAUCAAAAAAGCAAAAAAAACCACAAGCUUGACAAUAGAGGAAACUUUGGUGUUUUAGGUGCUUUUUCUUAGUUUUUAUAGAGGUUUAUAACUUAAGAGAUGAUAGAAAUCAAAAGGAAUUAGGAUUUAGACCUCAAAAUUGAUUGAAAUAGCAAGAGAGAAUAAAAGAUAGCAAAGCACAAAUUUUGGGGUUGGUUUUACGUGAAAUAACUUGGAGAACGGAGGUUAUUUAGCUUGGAUUUUAAAAUUUGUUUAAACUGCUUCAUAAAUAUUCUCAAAUUUGAAUAUUUUACAAAUCAAUCCUAUUUUCAAAAUUAAAGGUAUUCAAAACUCAUUUUCAGAAAUUGAUUUAAUUUUCUAAAAACCAUAGUUGAAAACAUUAUUGAUAUUCCAUGUCACAAAAUUUCGAACACUCUAAGGCUAAAAUUCUUAAAAUACCCCUAAAACUCCUAGGCUCUAUUUUGGGGUGUUACAAAACUCUAAUCUAAUCUAUUCAAACUUGAAAUCUAACCUUAAAAUCAGGUUUAGGAACUCCUAAAAACUUAAAAACCUUCAACAACUCAAGCUCUUACACACACAUUCUCUCUCUCUAAAGCUUAUCAAGCCCUUAACAAUGUUAUCUAAGAGAACUAGCUCUAAAUUGUCAUCUAACUUGAAAUCUAACAACACAUUUUUAAACUUAAAACUUAAGACUAGCUUAAAAACAAUAAGAAAAUCUCGAAUCAAAGUUUUCUCUCUUUAGCUUGAAAAAUGCUAAAAGAAAAGGAGAAACACAAGAAAAUUUAAAAAAAAAUAGUUUUCAAGAAUUAGAAAUCAUAACUAAAUGUAAGAAAACUCAUUACCUUGUUGGAAAACAAAGAUUGAAUCAAAGAAAUCAAAAUAUCACUUCACUCUCUUCUCUUCCAAAUCUAACGUGAACUCAAAGAGAAAAGAAAAGAAAAUAUUCAAAAAUCUUAAAUGAAAAUCCUUGUUUUAAUAGAAGAUUUUUAUUGAAAAUCAAGCUCACAUUUCAUUUAAAUCGAUAGAUAUUAAAUCCUUGAGAGAAUUUUAGUGAAAUUUUGGAGAAAUGAUCGUGAAAAUAGGAGAGAAUUUGACCAUUCCCUCCAACUAUAUUUCAAAUUGGAAUAUUUGUUAUGAGGGGAUUGGGAUAAUUACUAAUUUAGGACCUCUCAUCACAUAAAUGUUUUUUCUAGUUUUCACACAUUGACCCUACUAGUUUUUCUAACCUUACAAUUUAGUCCAUAAUCCUUAAAUCUAACUUAUCAGUUCUAACCAAUUAUUACCUCUAAUUAAUGAAAAUAUAUCAAUUAAUAAACCACCAAUUCACUAUCAAGCCCAUUCUAGAAAGCGUCUCAUUCUAACUUCACAUAACAAUUCAGUUUAAGAAAUUUAUCCCUAAACUAAACUUCCAAAAAAUUGGGUCGUUACAAUGAUACCAUACUUUUAUGAAGAUUGUAUGUGACAUGCUUGGUUUAUAACCAAAAAAUUAUGGUGAUCAUUGGAAUGAGAGCUUGGUUUAGUGUUUAACUUAAACUAGUUUAAUUGAUUCGAUUUAUUAAUCUACUAACUAGUAUAGGUUGUCAUGUUUGACUAAAUGGGUUGGCUUUAACAUAUUUUUUAGGGUUGGGUUUCUUUAAAGGUGUUUGGAUCUUUCUAACUUGAGGGUUAGUAAGCAUAUGUAAUAAAUAACUUAGGUUAGUUUCAUUUAUAAACUUGGAUUUGUAAUAAAUAACUAUAAAUGGGUCUCAUCGGGUUCUUUGGAAAUGGUUAAUUGGUUUACCAAAGUUUAUCGUUGGAGCAGUUUGACAAUGGAAAAGCUAAGAUGUAGUUAUUGGCAAUUGAUCAAAUUUAAUCAUCUUUGGUUUGUUUCUAAACCUUCUAGUGUUGUUGCUUUCAAUUUACCUUUCUCCUCUAAUGAGCUUUUGCAUAUUGUAGUAUUUGUAAAACUGUUUUCUUAGAAACUUUUAUUGUUAUACUCUAUUGUUCCAUUUUUUUAUUGUAACAUCGCGUGGAACUAUGUUUUUGAAUAGUCAAAGUUAAUUGUUGCGUUGGAACUUUUAACUUGUAUAUGAUUAAUAUCUUUAGUUAAUAUUUUAUUUAGGUAGAAAAUGUGAGACAUUUUUAUGUAUAAGGGAACUAGAUAUAAGGAGUUUAAGUCUUAUCCAAUUGGUAGCGAUUUUGAAAAGAAUAAAAAAAAAAUCAAAAUUGACUUGGACAUUAUAUUGUUAUUGUUAGAUCUAGUGCCCUAAGUGUUGUACUUUCGUUUAUAUACACUUGUCUUUUUUUUAAACAUACUGGUUUAAAAAAAGUAUUCAUGAAUUACAUUAAUACCCUUUGUAUAUUGUCCUCGCAUGGUUUUUGCAUGUAAAGCAAAACAGAAGCAAAUAUUAGCUCACUGGUUGUCCAAUGUUUAACUAAUACAAAGCGGUAUUACGUGAACGGAUCGUAACACGAAAAUACAACUUAUAUUAGUAAAUGAACCUAAACAUGUCAUUAGUCUAACACGAAAUGAGCAAAUCAAUUGAAAGACUAAUAUGACGUAUAUCAAGUCCAAUUGGGGAGAUGUUUUGUCUUGGGCAUCAGAGUGGAUGAAUCCUAGAAGGUAGAGACAUAUAUGUGACUGAUUGGACUAACAGUACAUAAGACAGGACUCAAGAAGAAUAUAUCCUAAAUCCGUUCAUGGAUUUAUUCACUUGUGAUAUUUAUAGUGUGGCAUACCUUAAUCUUUAGUGGAUGAUGGGCUAUGUAUGUGUAACUCAUAUAAUUUUAUAUAAGUAAAAACCUAAGUUCAAAUAGAUAAGGAACCGAAAGCUGGUGCGUUGAGUAUAUGACUUCUAUAGUAUGUAGCAUCAUUCAAAAUAGUGGAAUUCAUAGCCCAAUACAUGGGUAAAUGAUAUCAUCUCAUUGGCAUUACAUGAUAGAUGAAAAGUAAACAUUUUCAUAGAUCGUUUGUCUUUGUGAUGAAUGAAGAUAACAUAAUAUCAUAUUGGGAGAACGGUUUAUCCUAAAGAGAUUAAGGAUAUCCUCUAAGGGUAACACACUUAUGAAAAGGUCAUUGGACGAGUACUGAUCGAGUAGCUUUCGUAAUGGUAUCUACUUAGGGAGAGCUCAGUCAUGAUACUAUAGUAGAAUGACUUCGUGACUAAAUGAGUUUGUAAUUAAGAGGUGAAAAGUUGAAACUUAAUUAUAAAUCAUUUGAGCCUUAAUCACAUAUGUCCAGUUGGUCCCUCCGCUUGCUCAUUGAAACCAAAAAUGAAUUGCAUGUUGAAUCAAAUGAAUAGAAAUGGAUAAAAAUGACAAAGUUAGAGAAAUGGCUUACAUUCGGAAACGAAUGUGGUUUCUCACUAAGUAUGGAAAUGACCUGAGAAUUAAUUUAAGUUAUUUGAAUUAUUAUUUAAUUAAAUAAUUGAAGUUCAAAAAUGUAAUUAAAUUAAUUGUUCAUUGUGAAUCUGUUGAAUGUAGAAAUUAUAUAUUUUUUUCUCAAAGAUUCUUUUACGAUAAAGUUGUCAUGAUUUGAACAGAGUCAAAAUUGGGUUGGGAAAAUUAUUUAAUUAGAAAAUUAAAUUAUUUAAAUUAAUUUAAUAAAUAAUGUCUAUCUUGAGAAAUAGAAAAAAAAACAUGUACUAAGUUGAAUUAAAUAAAAAACUUAUGGGCUAAAAUUACAAGAAGCACAUAUAAUUAAACUCAAUAAAAAAGAGGCCCGAAUCCCCAUUAUAAUACAUAUGAGGGGAAACACACCAUAUUAGUCACCCCUCUCUCCUAGUUCAACUAGGGGAUUGGUCUUUUUUAUUAAAUAGCCAUUAAAUGUAUUUUACUAAUUCAAUUAGGGUUUCACCUCCUCUCCUUAUAAUUAGAUGGCACUGGUAGAGUUAAAAAAGACCAUACGAUAAGUUACAUACUAUUGUUAUUUUACCCGAAAAUAGUGAGAAUUUAUUUCUAAAUAUGAAUUCUAUUUUCCGGAAAUAACAAUUCUACCGGUUUCUAUAAGAGAGAAUUAUUUUCCCAUUCAAAGUAAGAAAAUUGUUUAUGGUUUUGUGUUUGAUUCAUAAUUUUUCGAGCCCACACUCAAAGCCAAGAAUUUUUAGGAUCUGUCUCGCUCAAAGUACAGGUGUUAUUUUAAGAAAAUGUUUAUUGCUAUAAAGAUAAAAACUCAACCCGAUUUUUAAAUAUAUUUUUCCCUGUACAAAGAAACUAUUUUCGAACUAAAUUUUUUCCCAAUAGCUAUCUUAAAGGAUAAUGAGCUAAUUAGAUUUAAAUUUACUUCAAAUGGGAGACUUUAUCGAAUAUAAUAUUUGUUAAGUAACUAAUUAAAUUUAUUUCUAGUGGGAUUGAACUUCUUAAAGAUGAGCCUAUCCUACAUACUUGAACAUGGAUGAAGUUAAAACAAUACAUCCUUUAUUUUUAUUUUUAUUUUUAUUUUUCUAUACAUUAUUUUGUUUUUUAUUUUAUUUUAUAUAGUUGGUUUGCAUUCAAAGGUGAAGUCCAGAAAUAUAGUUUUAAAUAUCUAGAUAUUAAAAGAAAAGUUGUUAUAAAAUAUGGUUGUUGAUGAGUUGAACUUUUGAAAAUUUGGAGUUUGACUCAAGUUAAAAUUUAAAUUUAAAAAUAUCUUAAAAUAAAUAUUAGAAUUAAAUGAAAAUAUUUUUAUUUAAUUUUUUAUUUUAUAAAGGAAUCAUGUGUAUUAAAUAAAAUAAAAUAUUGAAAAUUCACAUUUUUAGGUGGAAUUUAAAAAAGAAAAUUGAACUACUAAAUCUCCUUUUAAAGUUACUCAUAAAUUUUAAAAUUCUUCGAUAUAUUUAUCCAAAUAAAUAAAUUCAUUUUUUAAAUUUUAAAAAUUUUGAUAUAAAUAAAAUUUAUCUUAUAAAUCUCUCACCCAAACACUAUUGAAUUAGCUAGGUUGAGCAUUGAAAUAGAUUUUUUUUUUCUAUUUGCACUUAGCCUUUAAACUUUAUAAACUUGAAAAGUUAGAAUAAAUUUUUUAAUUGGAUAAACUCUUGUGUUACUAUUAAUAUUUUUUUAUCAUAAAAUGAUCGCUUAAUUAUUUUUUUUCUUUUUUAGUCUCCAAUUAUUAAAUGGUUAAUGGAUUGAUGACAUGGAAGCUUAUAAAAUUGGUACAAUAAAAAAAUUUAGCCUUGAAUUUUUACACAUUACUUAAUUUUAUCUUGUUUUACAUAAAAAUAUAAUUUAAUACACAAUAUGUCAAAUAGAAAUAAAAACAAAAAUAUUUCUUUUUUAAAAAUAUGUUUAUUAUUAAACUAUACAAUCACAAUAUACAUUGCCUUCCUUAUAUUUCAAAUGACUAAGAACUAGAUAUAUAUCAAUGACAAUUAAUUCAUUUUUUGAUAGCUUGAGCUGACUAUUGUAAAAAAUCCAAUUUAAAAAUGAUUUUCUUGCACAAUAAAAAAUAAAAAUUUUGAAAAUCGACCCGGCUUGUAAUAUUUAUAAAAAUAAACCCUAGACCGAAAUCGUACUUGUGUUUCGGAUAGACGGAUCCUUGCCAUUCCGAACUUUCAACCAAACGAUCUUCUUUACUAUUCUCGUACCAUGAACUGCUUCGAGUGUGGGCUCGAACCAAUUGAAUCAGAACACAGAACUAGAAUUUCUAUUCUUUUAUGUGGAAAAAAAAUUUCUCUUCUCAAAUAGAAACCGGCAGAAUUGUUAUUCUGAAAAAUAUAUUUAAUUCUAAGAGAAUAAAAAGUCUCUCUAUUUUCGGGCAGAAUAACCAUUACUUAAAGUUACGUUUAUAGCUCUACCAGUUCCAUCUAUUUAUAGGAAGAGAAAGUAGAACUCUUGUUGAAUUAGAGAAGUUUAUUUCAGCUAGAAAAACGAAAUCCUAGUUCUAUUAGGAUGUAGGAGGCGACAACCUUAGUUAAAUAUACUAGGGCUUGUCAUCCCCCCUUAUUACAUAAGAGGCUUUUGGGCCCCUUCUAUAUCAAGUCCAUUCACAAGUAUUUCUCGGGCUUUUAACGCAAUACAUUAUAAUUUGAUACAACUCAAUACUUACUUUUCUAUUUCUCAAAAAUAAAAUUCAAUAUAUAUAUAUUAAAUAAUUUUUUCAUCCCAAUUUUACCAAGGGUAAAUUUUACCCAUGAUGAUUUUACCCUUGGUAAAAUUUUCGAGAAAAUAUAUUUAAUAUUUCACCAUUCAACUUGUUCAUUGUGAUUGAAUGGUUUAUUUUCAUUUUCAACUUUAAAAUUACUCAAAAAUAUAAACUCAUUCUUUUGACCAUUUCUGAGUACUCCAUGUUCAUUUACAAAAGAAUAAUUUCUCAUUUACAUUUUCAUUUCCAUUUUGAGAAAACCACAUUCAUUUCCAAAUGAUUCUAUUUUAGAGAAAACCAUAAUCAUUUUUUAAUUUUUUUUCGUUCCUCUAUUUCUAUUCAUUUUGUUCAUUUCGAUUCAAACACGCAAUUCAUUUCAAGUUUCAAUGAGCUAGCAGAAGGAUUGAUUGGACACAUGCAAUUGAGGCUCAAAUGAUUUAUAAUUAAGUUUCAACUUUUUGAAUAUUAAUUAUAAACUAUUUUAGUCACGAAGUCAUUCCACUAAAGUAUCGUGACUGAGCUCUCUCCAACGACAUACCAUUACGAAAGUAUUUGAGAUAAAAUUCAUUCUUCCAACAUGGUCCUAUUUUAUCUUAUAGUAAGCAUUAUAUCUUUCUUCAUGCAAAGUCAAUCACUAUCAAAUAGUUCUCAAGUCAUCUAUCACAAAGACUAACGAACCAUGGCCACGUUUACUUUCCAUCAACCAUGUAAUGCUAAUAAGAGGAUAUCAUUUACGUAUGUCUCGGGCUAUGAAUUCCACUAUUAUGAUUGACGCUAUAUAAACACACCAGCUUUCGGUUCCUUAUCUAUUCAAACUCAGGCUUUUACUUACAUCAAAGUGUACGAGUCACGCAUACAUCAUGCGCCAUCCACUCAGGAUUUAGGUAUGCAACACUAUGAGCGUCAUAAGUGAAGAAAUUCAUAAACGAAUUUAUGAUAUAUUAUUCUUAGGUCUUGUCAGAUGUAUUGUCAGUCCAAUUAGUCACAUCUAUAUUUCUAUCUUCUGGGAGUCACCUAUUAUGAUACCCAAGAUAAAACAUCUCCCUAGUUAGACUUGAUAGAUAAUAUAUUAGUCUUUCAGUUGGCUUGCUCAUUUCCAAUUAGACUAAGGACAUGUCUAGUUCGUCUACUAAUAUAAGUUGCUUUUCUAUAUUACGAUCCAACCACGUAAUACCACUUAGUAUUAGUUAAAUAUUAGACAACCAGUGAGUAACAUUUGCUUCCUUUUUUCUUUGCGUGCAAAAACCAUGUAAGGACAAUAUACAAAGUAUUAAUGUAAAUCAUGAAUAAUUUUAUUAACCAAUCUGUUUGAAAGAUUACAAGUGUAUCCUCCAAAACCCAACCAAAACAUUAUAGCCAAAUCGUGAAAGUCACAUUGGACACCUAAGCGACAAACUACUCUAUCGACGGUUGGAAACCUUCAAUACACUCUCUUUUAAUAAAACUGUGGUUACCUUUGUUAUUUUGGGAAACAUUUAUUCAUUAAACCAACCUUUUUUAAGUCAAGUUAGUAGAACUAGCGUGAUUUUAGAAAAUCUCUUUGCAUGUCGUGGCUUUUGAAUAGAAAAUACUUUGUUAUCUUGCUUGCAGCAAAAAAAAACAAAUUAUUAAUUUAGACAAGUAACAUGCUCAAUCCAAUUUUAGUAUAUACUUAUAAAUCAAUCCCAAGUAUGAAAAACAUGCAUGCAUGAAAACCCAAAAAACAAAAACAAUCCCAAACCACAGUCCAAAUAGCUUUACAGUCCAAAAACCAAAUAAACUUAGGGAAUUUCGAAUAAAACGAAAAAAAAAUAUUAGCUUGAAAAAAAGUUCAAAGUUCUUCGUACGUCUGCAUGCCAAACUCGAUCCUAAUUCCGUUCAUUACACGAGUUGCUUGAAGUAAUGGGGUGAGCUAACUUGCUUAGUGCCAGUCUUAACAACAAGGCAUUUAACACACGUUUAAGCAUUCACACGCAGAACCAUAAAUCACAAGCAAAUAGCAUUAAUAACAAUGUAAUGAGUCAUGAUCAUAUUAUAAUGCAAAUUGAAUUUCCUACCCCCAACCAUCUGCUACACACCACGAGUUCCCCAAAACCCGUCUGCCAAACUCCAACGAAUGCGAGCAAAGCUCUAUGUGGUAAAACUAUUGAAUGAAUAUAAUUGUAGAAAAUCUGCCAUAUAACGAAUAAAUGUGAUAAAAUCGCCAAAUCUCCUUGAAUCUCCAAUGCAGUGCACUAACUAUGAAUAAAUGCAAACUUAAUAUGCCGUCGAAUUUCCACAGAACUCCCCCAUCAACCACAAUAAUAACCCACCCCAAUGCACAUGAAAUAUGACAUACAAUCUCAUACAUAGACAUAAUUUAAUACUUUCACAAUUUAUUGGCAUGUUCAACAUGCUCUCGAAUUAUCAAAUACUUUUAGUGAAUAGGAUCAUUGUUCCAACUUUCAAUUUACCAUCAAGGUGAUAUCAUUUAACAAAUUACAAUUUCAUGUCUUUUUACGAACUUUUCUGUGUGCAUGUGUAACAAUAUUUUAAACAUUACAUAGAAAAUUACACAUAUAAAUAUAUCUUGCAUAAUUCUUAUUUUCAUUUAGAAUCAUGCUAUACAUACAACUAAUAAUACAUCAAAUUAACUAACCAUUCACAACAAUAUCAACCAUGCAAUCAUUCAGUCAAUUUAGCAACUUUGCUAACAUGCCAAAUAGUUAGGGCUUGAAACAUACCUGGUUCGGCCUUUUACAAUUUUGAUUACUUAGUUAUUUAGCCAAGCCUGAUCAGCAAGCUAAAUCAUCAAUUAUUUCAUUAAAAUCAUUAUUAACAUUCAAUUUUUUGAGUUAGGACUCACACCUUAUUUUACGCUCUUCCGCAAUACACUUGUAAAUCUUGUGGGUUCUCUAAUAAGCUUUAAAAUUAACCUAAAAUAAAAAUUAGUAUUAAACCCAACCAAUAUGCCUCUUAAAUAGCCCCUAAACACCCACUUAUGGUUUCAAUCCAACCAUUACAAUUAUAACUAUUUUUAAGAUCCAAACUAGUUAGGUUUCUUACACUGAUUUGAUGUGAAUUGUACGGGCGAACAUCUUUCGGCUUCACUGUUGGUUUGGGGCAUUUAAGUCAGCACCUAAAACAUUUAAAUACUGUAAAAUAAGUAGCUAAUACAUUAUUAAUUUUUUUUUGAUCAAUUAACAAUCUUUCCCCAAUAUCUAAACCGAAACUAUAAACUAGUUUACAAUCAACCACAUAUAUGCUUCCUGAAUUGUCAAAUUUGAAUUGUCGAUUGAUCAAGAUUGAUUUUCCCUAAUUAAUAUAUAAUUAAAGGCUGAUUAGGAGGGGUUAAAUAACCCAAGAUAACGCUGGAAAAAGAUGGGAAAACUUAAAGAAGCAGUAGCCCACUUUCUUUCCUAUAGACCCGCGCACCACCACCAACGGUGGCCAAAUUGGGGAUGAUUUGAAACCACCUUUAAGAUCACUUAGAAAGCUGGAAAAAUUCCCUUUAAAUAUUUUAAAAUCCCUUAAAUUUCAGGUCUGGAAGUUUGGGUUUUUAACUCACAAGAUUCAUCAAGAAAUUGAGAGAAAAGAAGAACUUACACAAACUAGAUGAUAGGAGCAGGAAUGGCACUUCUUAGCAACAAUGGGAAUCGAUCUUGGAGGUCCAAUAUUUCAGAUUUGGGGCUUAAAAUUUUAUGGAAAAAUGGAAGAAAUGUUGUGAGGAAGAUGAUGCAAGAUCUUGUGGCAAAAAGAAAAUAAAGAGAUGGUAGAACUAGGUGUUAUGGGCGGCGGCAACAAUGGGGAAGAAGGGAAAAAAUGAAAAUUAAUGAGGAGAGGAGGAAGAGAGCGACGGAUAGGGUGGAGAGAAUGGGAUUAAAGGCUGAUAAAUUUGUUUAAAAAUAAUCUUUAUACCUAGGUCAACAGGGUAUGGGUGGCACACACAUUAAAAAAAUAAGGGAUUUUGCAAAAUUUAAUUAUUUUGCAAGGGAAAAGAUUCGAACUUAGGACCUUAAUUUAACUUCCAUGCUUUCAUCAACCAACCAUUGUGUCAUUCCCUUAUUUUUAAAAUAAUUUUACACUUUUAUCCAACUAAAAUUUAGGAUAUUACAACAAGUGUACUUAAGAAAAAAAUACUACAUUUAGGGCACUAGAUCCAACCCUGACCAUCUUUAAAGAAGCAAAUCAAAGCUUGCUUUUUUUAAGUUGUUAAAUUUACAAUUAGAUUAAAUUUAGGGGUGAGCAAAACUUAAUUUGAUUAAAAAAGUUGAAUUACAAGUAAUCGAAUCAAAUUAUUCAGUUAUCUCGAGUCAACUCAAAUAAGUAAUUUGGUUUUUCAAGUUUGAGUCAAGUUGAAUUUUACAAUUUGAAUAACUUGAAUAAAAAAUAGGUGUAAAUAUUCUUUUGGCCCCUAUGAAUUUCGAGAAUAUACAAAUUGGUCCUUCAUUAUCAAAUCAAAUUUCUCAUUUUAAAGUAUUGUUUUUCUCUUAUUUUUGUUUUGAAAGAGUUAUCAAAUAUUUAUGUGCUCUAAUAAGGAGUCAAUUAUAUUGUAACAAGAUUUUAAUUCAAUAUGUUUAAUUUUUUUUUAAUUUAACUCGAACAAUUUCACUAGAUUCAACUUGACUUAAAUUUUGUUUCACUUGAUUCAAUUCAAAAAAAUUCAAAUUAAGUUUGGAUGAUGAAAUAGGACUUGUCAACUUGACUAACUUAAAAUUUUCACUCAAUUCGAUUAUAUGCUUUCCGCUAAUUGAAUUAAUGAAGCAUUUACUCUUUACUUUCAAUCAAUUGAAUUGGCUAUUUUUCAAAAAUUGGGAUUGUUUUGGUUCUUUUUGUUGUUUAUUUCUUCAUUGAAUCAAACGUAAGGACAAUGUCGGAAAGGGCCACAAAGAAAAGCAAAAUUGCAAAAAUGAUCAAAAUACAUAAUGUAUAAACAUUGAGGGUUCAACUUUUUAGAAUCAAGACUAAAUUGGAUCAAUGUAAAAAUAUUAAGGGCUAAAUUUAUUAUUAUGUCAGUAUUAAAAGCUACCAUGUCAACUUUCUUAAAAGUUAUUAUUAUGCCAAUAUUAAAAGCUACCAUGCCAAUGAUUGGGUUGUAACACCCUUAUACCCGACCAGACUAUUGAAUUAGGUAUAGGAAUGCCACAUUGAUUGUCAAAGUAAAAGGCUAUUAUGUCCUAACAAUAGACAAAAUAUUAUAUACUGAUUAUUUUAAUUUAACUAUCAUAACAGUAUUGGCACUACAUAAUGGGAUGAGCCCGAAUGAAUCUUUCAAGCAUUCAUGCAAUUAAAAUAACUUAUUUAUGAAAAACAGCUGCCAAGUAUCAAUAUUGGGCAUGAAGUAUCGGUACCAUUAUUGUAGGUAUCGAUAUAUCUUUCAAUUAUUGAUACUGUUUUGAGCUUCGAAGCUUCAGAAAAUCGAAUUAAAUUCAUUAGUAUCGAUACCAAGGUUGAAGUACCAAUACUUGCCACUAAGUAUCAGUACCUUCGCUAUGGUAUCAAUACCAAAAUAGGUUUCUGUCAUUCGGGAUGGAGGGUAAGUGCUAACUUCCAAACUUUAUCAUUUAAGUCUUUGUACACCAAUUUCCUCAACAUAUUCAAACCAAUCCACAAUUGCAAGCAUAUAAAUAAAUUAUAACAUUAACAAUUCAAACUUAACACAAACAUGUUAUGGAUUUGGAUUAAAUUUACAAAAUUGAUCAAGUUUACAGAGUUUAUAUAUUAGUCUUUUAUAUCCAUAUCCCAUGCCAAAAUACCUAUAUACAUGCCAAACUAUACCAAAAGUUAGUAUCAUACUCUUCUCCAAACUUGGCGAUGUGAUAAGAUGAGCAGCUCCCAAUGUAACAACUUUGUUUUCAGUGGUAUCGAAAAUUGUGGUUUCAAAAAUCCAUUUUUCAAAGAUCGAGUCUAUAAAUAUUAUUUAUUAAUAUUUAUGAUUCAAUUAUAGUAUUAUAUUGAACUCUAGUCCGAUGAAUUUGUUAAUUCAAAAAUUAGUAGAUGUAUAAGUGAAUCGACUUUAAAGUUGGUGGGUUUCAAAAAUAAGGUGUUGGGAUCUCUUUUCCGUAAACCGAGUCCAUAAAAAUUUUUUAUUAAAUAUUUACGGAGUUAUUAUAUAGGUAGAUUAGAUUUUGGGUAAGUAGUUUCACCGAUUUAGCGACUAACUAAGGUACAAGGACUAGUGUGUAAAAAAAUGUAAAAGUUAAUUAUUAUACAUUUUAGUUACUUAAAGACUAAAAUGAUAUUUAGGAGACCUAAAAUAGAAAUUAUGCCAUGUUUUGAGAUGGCGGACGAUUUAGUGUGAGAAUUAUGAGAAUACUAAUAAAAUUUUUAUAUUUUAUAAUAAUAAAAUAAGUAUUAGGUAAGUAAAAGAAAGGAAAAUAUGUCAUUAUCUUUUUCAUUUCUAUUUUCCAUCACCCCAAAACAAAGAGAUUAGGGGAGAAGCCAUUGUUGAAUUCUCCAACUUUCUUCUUUUUCUUGAUCAAUAAUUAAAUCAAUCAGAAGAUAAGCGCGAAAAAGGAAAAAUUACGGAGUAGUGCCUGAAGUCGCGUUUGUUGCUGUUUUGUUUAGGUAAGUUUGUAUGGACUUAUUUUAUUAAUUAUUGAUAUCAUUUUCUAUUAUCUUGUUUUAUUAUUAGUUAGAAAUGAUAUAUAUAUAUGCACACACAAAGUUUUUGGCAUCAAAUGGGUUAAAUCGUAAUAUAUGAAAUAUGUGAUAAAUAUGAAUAGAUGUAUUGUAUUGAAUGAUCGUGAAAAUUAUUGUAUAAAUGAUUGAUGUGUAUAUGAUGAUAUUAAGGUUUAAAAUGUAUUUGGAUUGUUUUCUAAAUAAGAAAAACAUGCAUGCGACUACAGAGAUUGAAAUAGAAUAAGUAUGGCAAUAAUACCGUGUGAAAUUAAUAGUUAUUUGAAAUGGAAGAUUCAUAGAUUGUUAAUUGAAUCAUGUUACAUGUAUAUGACAAUGUUAUGAUAGCUGAGAAGAUUAGAAAUGGAAUCAUGGUCCUAGUGAAAUUAGUAAACAAUUAGAAUAUACAUACAAUAAGUACUAUGUAUAGGUGCCGAUUUUCAUGCCAUAUAAAUAAAGCAGAUACUAUGUACCGGUAUUGGCUAUCAUGCUAUAUACAUACAAUAUGUACUAUUUAUCGGUGUUGGCUUUCAUGCCAUGUAAAUACAACAGGUACUAUGUACCGGUGUUGGCUAUCAUGCCAUAUACAUACAUGUACUAUGUACUGGUGUUGAUUUUCUUACUUUAAUUCUUCGGGCAAAACAAUUCAUUAAAUGAAUAUAAAGAAAUGAAUGAAUAAGUCUUUUGAUUGUAAAAUUAUAAGAUGAACAUGGUUUUACAUGGUAUUCAAUGAUUUACUAAUGUAACGAAUUAUAAAGUGAUUUGCUUAACUAUACAUUGAUGUUGGACUAACUAAGUUAUUUGUAAUGUGAAAUUGCACAAGGUUGCCAAGGGUAAUUUUAUGUUUUAUGUUAUUAAAAUUUCAACUACUUAUGUUAUUUAAUGCUGAGGUAAGUUAAGUUAAAUUUUCGCACAAACUUACUAAGCACUAGCAUGCUUACGUGUUUUCAUUUCUUUCCCUGUAGAUCACCGGACAAGGUCAGAUUAGUCAGAUCACACCAAAGCUCACAUUACCCGUCUUACGGUUUGGUAGACCUUUGUUCAUUUUGGCCCAAUUAUAUGUAGCAUGUACAUAGGUGUGGUUGUGGAUAUAGAUGUAAAUCUAGAAAUAAUUCUUUUGGUUGCUAUAUGUGAUGUUGAUUUUGAUUUUAUGUAUAUGAAUGUAUGGUUGGUACUGUGAUUUUGCUAUAGUUAAUUGACUUGAAUGGUAUCUUAGUACUAAAAUGGUAUGAUAGAUAGUAAUGUUUUGAGAUGAUGAUAUGGUGUCUUUGAAUGUGUAUUGCUUUGAGAACAUGAAUGGUUCACAUAGUUUUGAUGUGAAAUGGUGCCAACGAGGCAUAUUGGUUAGAUGACUAUAAGGUUGUUAUAUGCUAUGCUUUGGAAUGAUUUUGUAUAGGUUUGAAUACUCAUGUAUACCAUUUGUGCCAAUGGUUUGACUUGGCACAAAAUAGAUACUAAAGGACCACAUUUUACAAAAAAUAGAUUUCUUGUCGCAACAUGGGGUUCUUCUCAUCGCAACGUCGGUUGGAUAGUUUGUGAUGUCUCGACAUCAAGUGGACCGACAUCGUAACGGGGCUACCUUGGUGACGUCUUAACGUGGGAAAAGCCUUGUCACGAUGUGGAGUCAACAUUUUCAAAACUUUACAAUUCGGUCUUAAUAUGUGUUCAAGUCGCCAAAAGAGCUUUCGUAAGCUCGAUUUAAGUUCGGGUUUAGUUCUGAAUCACAUUAUAAAUGUGUUUAGGUUAUAAAUGAUUGUUUGAUUGACAAAAUUUCUAUAUUUUCAUCGGUAAUUGCUCUAGUCAUGUUUGUAACAUCUCAUAGCUCAAGUCCGAUGACCGAAUGGGGUAAGAGGUGUUAAACAUGAUCUUUGUCCUAGCUUGUUUGAUUAAUUUCUACCUACGCAUUGAAAAUAAACGCAUUAAGCCGGUGAAGGCUUAGUAAGUACAACAAGAAUUUAGAUCUUUCAAUUAUUAAUAACUAGUAUAUUCUUAAUAAACAUAAACUUACUUCAUUUCAAACCUAGUCCCUAAUGAUCAAAUUUUUACCCUUGCAGAACUUACCGUGACAUUUUAUCGGUUUCUUAAUUCACAUUUCAUAUAGUAGCCCAAUGUAGACUAAACUAAACACUUAAGAUAUACGAAAUAAAUACAAAAGUGCACUGAGGUGCAUUCACGUAGCAGUGAGCACCGUAGUGCAUUUACGUAGUAGUGAGCACUGUGGUGCUUAACAGAAUAGUAAGCGCGCUAAAAUUCCUUUAUGGCAUGUCAUCUAUAUCCUAAUAGUUCUAAUCUCGUCUACACGGGCUUCAUUUUUAUUGAACCAUGGAAUUUAUUCAAAUGUAGUAUAACUUUUCAAUCUCACAAUUUGGUCCUUUUCUUCAAAAUACAACUUGACUUGUAAAUUUACUUCAUAAUUAAUGCACAUAACAACAUCACUUUAUCAUUUUUCUAUUUAAGUCCCUUUUUCAAUUUUCAAUAUAAACAUUACAAAUUCACAACAUAAACUAUAAUUUAAAUCUUUUACAUAAAUUUUCAUUAAGGAUUACUAUACAUAUAAAAUUUAUACUAAUAAUUAAAUUAUUCAAUUAACAUAGUUGAUGAUUAAACUUCAAGUCAAACAAAGUAAAAUUAUUUAAGUACUUACAACCAAGGCUUGGAUGAUGUGUUUUCCUUCUUCUUACUCAUUGAUCACUUCUUUUCCUUUGUCUUCAAUUUGAGCCUCACAUUUCUUAUCUUUUUCUUCAAUCCCAUAUAAAAAAACAUAUAAUAUCUACAUGUUAAAACCACAAUCAAAUAACGUUUAUAUACUACCUUAUUAAAGUAAACAUGUAUUUCAUGAAGAUUUCAUCAUCUCUUACUUUAAUCACUUGAAAUCAAAAUCUAAUUCUUAUUUUCUCUUUCCUUCAACACAUUUAUGGAGUCUCUUCUCAUGGAAUUAAGAUGACUACUAGUCUUCUCUAUUGCAUUUUCUAAGAAAACAACAAAGAAAUUAAAGGAUUUGAGCUUGAAAUGACUUAAAAAUAGUGGAAGGACCUAUUUGGAAUAAAAGAAAAGGUUUGGAUGGAGAGAUUUUGAAGGUGACAGUUUGCAUUCCAGAUGAAUGCUUUUCAUAUUUCUUCAAAUUUUUACAAAAUUCCAUGAAAAUAUCUCUUUAUUAAUCAUUAAAAUAAUAGUUUUGCAAAUUGGUCCACCAAUGGCAAUUUAACACAAUUUCAUCCCAUAAUAAUUAUGUUUCUAUAAUUAUCUCAUUUAUCUAAUUACCAUUUUAUCCUAUAUCUUUUCUACAAUACAAUUUAUGAAUCAUAUCUAACUUAAGUAAAAUUUCACUUCUGGUCCUUCCUCUUUUCUCACCAAUUCCAUGUAUUUCGUUUCUAACUUUUAAAUUCCUACUUUUGCCACAACACUUUCUAUUCUUCUACAAUUUAGUCAAUAUCUAAAAUUAAUUUUCCUCAUCUAAAAGCAUUUUCUAAUUUCCUAUUGGCAUUAACUACUUUUUAUAUUAACACUCAAAUUUCCUAUAUUGUUCGUGUCUAAAAAUUCUCUAAUAUUCUUAACCCAGCAUAGCACUGUACCUAGUUCUGAGUCAUAACGCAGAUGUAACAUAGGUGACCAAAGAAGAAAUUUACUAAUAGUUGGGUGACUACUAAUGUAGUUUACCUAAUUUAAUUAAUGAAUUGACCCUACUUCAAACCAAACAAACCAGUAUAAACACAAAUAUUUUUUUAACAACUUUUAAAUACGAAAUCUCUUACCUUAGUUCAAAUCUAUAUAAUUGAAGUUUUGAUUAUUAUUUUAUCUUUCAUGUUUCUAUCAUAAGAAAAUAGAUACUAAACAUGUAUUCAUAUUUUCAUUAUUUAAAACAAUUUUUUUGUUUCAUCUUUUUCAAUUUAAAAAAUAAAAUAUAUAUUUAAAUUUUUUAAAAUGAAAAUAGAGAAUAAAAGCAUAAAAGCUUUUUAGAAACCAAAUGGGUCUUAAUCUAAUUAAAAUAGUUAAAAUAUACAUAAAAUACAUAAAUGUUUGAAAAGAUGCAAAAGUAAUUUGUAUUAAAUAUUCUAAUAUUUAAUUUUGAUUUUUUUAUAAUUAAUGUAAAUAUACUUAUUUGAUUUAUUUGAAAGGUUAAUAUAUACAAAUAAGUUAAUGAUAAUGUUACAAAAUCCAUUAUGGUGUUUUCUUUUUGAAAUUCAACUUCAUCAUUUCAAACCACAAAUUUUACAAGAGAUGAAAACAAAAAAAAAAAAAAAAACUUAAAGAGGGACCAGAUAUAAAAUUUAUUAAUGUUGUUUAGAUAGUAGUUGAGAAAACUAUAUCAUAAAUAAUGUUAAUAUUUGUAUUAGUGAGGGGUAAAGUGUAGAAAAAUGUAGGGUGUUCUUGCAGCAUUAUUCAUUAUUCAUACAUACAACUGUGGGUGCUUUUCGUUGUUUUGUGCUUAAUGAGAGAAUGUGCUGUUCAUAUCCCAUCUUCACCCACUUACCCUAUUCUACAUUACUCUCGAACCACUUAAGAAAAAAGUGAAAUCAACCUCCUCACAUGGAUGCUUAGAUGAGUGGACAGGAUGGGUUCAGAGGUAUUCUGAUGAGAAAGAUCUAAUUUUGAGGGCCCAUUUUAUGUUACAAGAAAUGAAGCACCUCGCUCUCACUCUCAAAAUGAUGAAGAAGCUGUAGAAGGGAAAGUUAGAUCGUUUGAAAGUUGUUACUCGCAUUUCACUCUCCAAGUAAAUUGGAGAAACCUAUUAAUUUCCUCCUACACCAAUCAUGAGCAUUUCCGUUUUUAUAUAGGGAUAUCAUAUUUUAGAUUUUUAAUAAUAUUUUUUUUAAAUUAAACUCUCAAUGAAACAUAUUAUUUUAAUCGAAGAUUUUGCCUCACAUAUUUCGAGAAAAGUUUAAAAGGAGUCACGAAGUUUAGAGAGCGUCUCGAUUGAUGUAGAUAUAUAAUCCACAAGCUCACAAAAAAAAGUGUCAAUACUAUUAAAAAUAUUAAUUAACGGUACGCCGCGCAAUAUACAUAAUUAAUAUUUUUAACCUCGCUUACAAAUCGUGGUAAACCCCUUUAAACUCUUCUCAAAACAUGGGAGACCAAGUAAAACAGUACCUUUAAUCAAAGGUGGAACACUAACAACGCGUCUAACAUUUUAUUAUCAUAUAUUAAUUAGUGGAAUAAAAUCUUGAUGGCUUCAAAAUCUGUUGUUUGGUGAGGUGUAUACGUAACCCACUUCUUUGACUAAGAAUGUGUAGAGAGGGCAUAUUCCAGGCUUAUUCCCGAUUUGAUGAAUGUAUUGAUAUGAUAUUAUUAUGAAUGUAUCAUGUGGAUUGAGCCAGCUGUUUGGAGGUGCCCAAAAUACGAUGCUCCACUAUUUAUCAGUUCCAAAAUAAAUAAAUAAAAACUGCCUCUAAGAUCAUAAGUUUUAUAAUCGCAUGCUAUGCCUAUGCCAUGGGUAUCUGGAACCAUUUUCGUUAAUCAAAACAUCUAAUGGAUGUAAUUUCUCAUCUCCAAAAACAGAAUUAUCUUUUAAAACUUUUCCUACCAUUAAAUUUAUAAUUUAAUUUAUUCAUGGUCGGUUUCACUUACGGAAAAUAUUUUAUAUAUUUUUUAGUUUGUUCUAUAGAAAACGGUUUAAUGACUUACAAGUUAUUAAAAAUAAUAAUUUUUUAUCCUUGUAAGCAUAAGUCAUCUUUCCAAAAAGAGUUCCAUUAUGAGUAAUUUUACAUAAAAAUUAAUUUAAAUCAAACCUAACAUUAUUAUAUUAAUAAUCAAUUUUAAUUUUUUUUGAAAAUAUUAUACUGUUCAAUAUUAUAAACAUAUAUAUUUAAUUAUUUACAUUUAAUAAUGUAAUUUUAUUUAAAUAAUAUUAUUAAUAUUAUUGGAAAAUAUUUAUAUUAGCACUUUAAUAAUAAAUAUAUAUUACAAUUUAUAAAUAUUUAAUAAUAUUUUUUUAUGGUAUAAAAUAUGAAUAUUUUAAUUAUAUAAAUAUUAUUACUUGUUUAAAUCAUGCUUUACUUCAUUUAUCCCUUCCAACUCUAAGGGGCAUUGGGUUGAUCUAAUCUUACAUUACUACCUAUAAUGUUACAUUCCGAAAUAGGAUUAAGAUGCUUGGAUUCCUAACUAGUGUCAAGAUGUUGUAGUAUAAAGUCUAAUCUCAUUACGGCCUCUUUUUUAGGUUAUCUAAGAUUCAGUGCGGAAUUUGAAAUUGAAGACAAAAUUACUCUUUGUUCUUAUUACAUUAGUCAAUUUAAUCCUUUUUUUACACAAAAAAUUUAAUUGUAAUUAAAACCCAAAAUCUUUUCUUUCUUUCUUUUUCUUACCCUUUGGAAACCAAAAUAUAAUUCAUUUUCAAUAUAUUUUUAAUUAAAUAUAAUUCAAUUCGAAAAUAGCAAAUAUAUCAUAAAUAAAAUGAAUUAAAACUAAGAAUUAUUUUUAAUAUAAAAAUUAAAAAGUUUAAACUUGUCAUCAAAUAUAUUGAAAUGAAUGUUGAAGGUCUUUACCUUCUCUAUUGCAUUUUUUUUUUUCAAAUCGAUAAUUAUAAAUUGGGUGUUGAAGAAAAUCUAAAUGAUUCAGUAUAAACUUUGUUAGUUCAUAAUCAACGUGUUAUAUAAAAAAAAAUUGAACUAAAAUAAUUACUCGUGCAAUGACUGAAGCCUUCUAAAAUAAUUUCUUCUAUUAGUUGUAUUUAACAUAUUUUAAGGGUCAUGAGUAUUAUCUUGUUAUAUUUAAAUCCAAUUAUUUUAAUUUUUGAUUUAUGUUUAGGUGAGUGUUUAUUAAUUGGGUUAAGAUUUAAUACAUUGCCAGUUAUACAUAUUUUUAUUGUAUAAUUAAUCUUAAAAAUGGUCGCAUGUUUUUAAAAAAAAUAUUUUAUUAUAUCCUUAUUAAUCCUUUUAUCUUGCUUAUGGAGAUUGAAAACUCAACUAGCAUAAUACCAAAUAUUUUUCCUUAUUAAUUUUUUUAAUAAUAAAAAGAUGAUAUGCCAAGAUAAAAUUAAGUGUAAUUAAAUGAAAUUUUUUUAAGUUAUUAUAAUUUUAUGAAAAAUGUAAGACUAAAAUUGUUAAAGAAAGUGAACUUGUACAAGAUAAAAUUUAUUUUUAAGUAGAAACAAUAAAUUCCAUCAACCAAACACAUGAAUCUUACAUUCUAUUCAAAUGAACUAAAUAAGGUAAUCUUACAUUCUCAUAUAAUCCUAUUACAAAACGUAAUCAAAAAUUCGGUAAACCAAAUGUACACUAUGUGUCGCUAUCGACUCUCAUAUAUGUAAUAUAUGUAAUUUAAGUUAAAUUUUACUCGAAGAUUGUUUAUUAUUAAGUUUAUAUAUGAUAUUAAUUAUUAUAAAAUAUGAUCUUAUUAUUAAAAUAGUUUGUAACAAAUAUCUUUAUAUGGUAUUUAUUUCACGAAAAAGAAUUUUUAAAAAUGAAUUAAAGAAGGAAAAAAUAAUUUACACAAAUGAUUUAAACUUGAAAAAGAAAUUCAACAGUUUAUUUUUGGAAAAUUGUUUUGAUGAGCCUAAAAUUAAGGGUAAAGUUUGAUGAAUUGAGGGAGGUUGAGCGGGUGUUUAUCAUUGGUCUGGACUCUGGAGAUGCUUCACCCCGCAUCAUUAACCAAAAAUAAAAAAUAAAAUUCCCCAGUUGCACUUGUCAAAUGUUAUGAUAUUAUUAUUUCGAAUAAAAGAUAACGAUCGUAUUAAUAAUAAAUUGAUAGCCAUCAUCAUGGCUAGUUGGUGAAUCUCCCAGGGAUCAGGGGCGGCACUAGGGCAAGGCCGCCUUAAAUGGUAAAUUUUCAGUUCUAAUCCCUUUAAAAUAAUAAAAUUAUAAAGUUAAUUAUAAAACUGCAUGUUGACCCUCUAAAACUUUAUUCCGACGACCAAAUGGUUUGAAGAGAAAGCUUCGAAGCUAAUUUCCCCAGUGCAUAUGCAGCCAACAUGUUGGUACACAAGUCACAAAAAUUUAGCCCUCUUUCGCCUCAGCUCCUCUACGUACUUGGAUAAAUCACCAUCUGCAUUCAUCAAUUUCCAGAAUGAUUGCAUGCAGAGGCAUAUCCCAUUGCUUCAGCCAGUCAUAUCAACAUGUAGAAGUGCUGUUACUGCCCCUUAAAGGCUCGAAAUUGAUUUUUGAUUUGGUGCAGUGAUUCAGCUUUCCAGACAAAACUCACCAUUUAUUCUUCCUUGCUAUCUACCUCCACUUAAUUCAGCUCUCCUGAUUUCAUAUUCAUAAAGACUCGCCCAUUAAUAACUUUAUUAUGAUUAUAUCGAUUUUAAGUAUAACUCCACAUAUAAUUAUAUUAAGAUUAUAACAAUAUAUUUUUAUAAUAAUAAUAAAACAAAAUUUUAAUUUUAUAAUUUAUGUUGCUUUUAAAAAAAUCAAUAAGAAUUAAAGCCACUAUGUACAAGAAUGUUAGUCUAAUUAAAAUAAACAUAAAUUAUUUAUUUAUUAAAAAAAAGGAAAACAAAAGAGUAUAUAUGUUUAAAAAAGAAGUAAAUUAUGUUAAAGGUAUAAUUUGUAUUAAUUUAAUAAUUAAUAUAAAUAUAUUUUAAAGGUAUCAUUGUUGGCUGGUGACUCUGUCAAUAACAGAAAUGGUGGAACUACGUUUGAUUCAUGGUAUCCUUAAUCGUGAAUGGAAGGUGCACAUUCGCCAUGUUCCUAGAUCCCAAAACACGGUUGCUGAUCAUAUGACAAGACUUGCGAUUUCUGGUCAUCCGAGUUUAGUCAUUUUUGAAGAACCUCCAAUUUUGAUCCAAGGACUUCUAUUAACUGAUAAAAUGAGCUUUCAUAAGUCCUAAGAUGUGUGUUUUUUUGUAAUCGCUUUAUGAUGUGAUUUUCUACCAAAAAAACACAUUUUAAUUUUUAUAAUUGAGAGUAGAGAUGGGAAAACUAGGUAUUGAACCCAAACUCUCAUGCCACACCGCAUACUUUUGCCACUAAGUUAAAAAAUUGUUAGCUUCCAAUACAAUUAAUCGUUACAAACAUUGAACUGAAUAACUAAAAGAACAUCACAUUAAUUAGCAUAAAUAUACUUACUUGAUUGAUUUCAAUUAAAUUAAUAAUUAAUGAGUUUUGAAUUACUGGAUUUAUCAUUUAAAAGAAAAUCAAAUUCUACCGUUUUAGGCUAGAAACUUUAAGAGGGGCCAACUAUAAAUUUAUCUUAUUUUCUAUUAGCUACAUAUAGUAAUUAGGAUCAAUCAGGAAUAUUACUGUUUUUUAUCAGUGACGAAAAAAAAAAAACCUUUCUUGAAAAAUCUUUAGGGGACCAAGUCACCUACCAACACUUUUAUAUUCUAACCAUUUAGCUUAUUCUAGACUAAUCUCCAUUAAGCCCCCACAACCACAAGAAAAGAUGAUGACUUGAAUUAAUACAUAGGCAAUGCCAGAUUCACGUUACAUGUAUACUAGUGUGACAAUAAUGCGGUCCACAUGGAUGCGCCUACCCAUGUUUAUAUGAAUGAGGGGACAAUGGUUUUGGUUGUUUCGAUGAGAGGAUAGGAUUUGCUUCAUUAACAUAUAUCACUUUUGUUGCACUUCCUUAUCUGGAAUCCAAUUUGAAUCUUUUCAGGGACCACUUCUUUCACAACAAAUAAACUUAUGCUCUUCGACCCAUUGUUUUAAUUUGGUCAAAUUAUGCUAUUAGAUCAUGUACUUUGUAUAAAUUGUAGAUUUUGUACUUGUACUUUAACUUAGUCAUUUUCAGUCUCUAUACUUUUAGAAUUUUAAAAUUUUAGUUUUGAUCAAAUGGCAAGUAUUAAAUUCAUUAAGUUGAGUUGUUACGUUAAAUAUAUUAUUGCAUGUGUGGUUACAUGUCAGCUUGCUAUCUUCGCGUAUUACUCAUAAAAAAAUAAGUUACUAGAUUUAACAACUAUCGUUUACAUUAAGACUAAAAUUUUGAAAUUCAAAAAAUAUAGCGAGUUAGAAUGAUUUAGUUAGAGAAUAUGAGCUAAAUCUCUAAGUUUACGCAUUAUACAAGAUUAAUAGUAGAAUUUAACCAAAUAGAUUUAACUGUUAUUGUUUGGUCGAGCAAAAUUUUUAAAAUUCAAAAAAUAAAAGACUAAAAUUGAUCAAAUUAAAGAAUUUGACUUUUUAAAUUUCAUAAUAGCAUUUCACUUUUCUUCAAUCAGUUUGGAGCAAGGUGUUGAUUCAUUUGGUCCUUUUAUUGCUCAUACACCAAUGAAUGUAAGCCUUUUCGUUUUGAGGCCUACCACUCAAAUCUUAUCGCUAUCACUGCCUUUUUUAUAAGAUUAAUUAUUGUUGUAUAUAUAUAUAUGUUGUUACUAAAGACAAAGGGGUCUAACUUUUAAGGAAAAAAUUAAAAAAACACAGGGGUAUACAAAAUAAUAAUCCUUAAACUACAUUUAUUCAAACCAAGAUGAAAAACGCGUUCAAGAGAUUUCUAACAAUGAAGGCAUAGAAUACAUUUAAAAAGAAAGAAAAAAAAAAAAACCUUCACAAGAAAGGCAUGCAAUUAUUGGCAAGUUGUAAUGAUUAGACAGAUACAGCUAGCUUAAGUUAUGCUAACGUAGCAAUUGCGGCGGCCGCCUUCUCAUUUUGUUUGUGCUCUUCUUCAUCCAUUGUAUCACAAAUUGUUCCACCUCUAGUCUCCGGUAAUCCCACCAACGGGAGCCCGCAAAUUCCUAUCACCAACCCGAAUACCCCGAACGAUAUGAAGUUAUUUGUCCUCCCAGCGGCCACGAGCAGUGGGCUGAACACCCCCCCAAACACCAGUGCUUGCCUCACCAUUGAUAUUGCCGAGUUCCUCACGCAUGUGGGAAACAGCUCUAAUGUGUAUAUCAGUGACAUGUUGAAGGCCGAGCAGGCACUGAAGAAGGAUAUCAGCUCCAUUGCUAUCUGUAAACUUGGCGACACCUUCCCCACCACCACACACAACACGCUGCACACCCCGCUUAAUAUUGUGAAACCCAACAAUGAGUCUUUCCUUUUCAUUUUCCCUAUAAGGAAGAAUGUAAUGAGUGACGCUGGCAACUCGGAUAAGGCGUUUAAUGUGACGCCCAAAUAGAGAUUGACGGAUAGAUUUCCAAGGCCUAAUGGCAUGCCGUAGUACACCAUCCCAAUCCCAAAACCUCCCACCAUCACGGCCGCUAGCCUUUUUGCCGCCCACCUCUUGUUCAACAGUAUCUUGAUUGUGGAGUAAAUAUCUACAUUCCAUGAUUCCUGCUCGAUUAGGACAUUGGAGAAGCUCAUUGUUAUGGGACUUUGAUUAGCCUGAGCCAUGCUCUUGAGUGUUAACACUGCUUCUUCUUUGCGUCCUCGGACGAACAGCCAUCUUGGGGACUCAUGAACUAAGAAAUGAACUAAUAUACAGUACAAAAUUGUUGGAACCGAAAUCCACAGAUACAGUGUUCUCCAUGAAGAACCUCUAUUUACGUAUGCCAUUACCGGCAAUGAAAGAAACCCUAAAGUAAAACAAAAGAAACCAACAACGCCGACCUGGCCGCGCCACCGUUUUCCUACUAGCUCGGUUGAUAACACGAGGGCACAAGUUCCAACAGUUGCGCGGCCAAACCCGUUAAUGAAUCUCAGGAGAGAAUAGAUCCAAAUAUUGGGUGAAAAAACGGUGAAGAUUGAAGAAAAAGACAUCAUGAGACAUGAGAAUAAGAGCAUGUUUUUGCGGCCAAGAGUGGAGUCAGCAAGCGUUGCAAGUGCAAGUCCGCCUGCAAGGCAACCCAUGAAGAAAGCAGAAGCAGGGAGGCCAGUGAUGAAAGAAGGCGCACAUUCCAGGCCCCAUUCCGCUAUGAUUGAUGUGUGGGAAGGCCAAUCCCAAGACCAUGAAUUCUUAGGGAGCUCGCAAAUGUUGGACAAAGCGUUACAAACAGACUCGUCUCCGCCUUGGGUGCAGUGCCAGGAUGGCUCAGCAUCAGUGAAUACACUGAUGAAGGUUUGCUGAGCAUCAAAGACCC